rnacentral:lncRNA from 1 species
UAACAACUUAUUAGAAGGAAGCAUACCUCAAUCUCUGAAGAACUUAAAAGGUCUUGCAUUACUGAACCUAACAAUGAACAAGCUAUCUGGUAGUAUUCCUGAUGCCCUUGCUAGCAUUGGCAACCUGCAACAACUGUAUCUAGCACACAACAACUUGUCAGGUUCCAUCCCCAAAGUUCUACAGAAUUUGACAUUGUUGGCAAAACUGGAUUUGUCAUUCAAUGAUCUGCAAGGCGAAGUGCCAAAAGGGGGUCCUUUUGCAAAUGCAACUCACUUGUCAAUUGAUGGAAAUGAUGAGCUUUGUGGUGGAAACCCUCAACUUCACUUAGCUCCGUGCUUCACAGCUGCUGCGGGGAAGAACAGAAGGCGAAUGUCAAGGUCAGUUAUGGUCACCGUAGCGUCAAUCUGCGCACUUCUAUUCUUAGGUUUAGUAGUUUUUCUUAUCCAUUUGAUCCACAAGACGCUCAGACAAGGAAAGGAAAAUCAACUCAUUCCCACAGUAAUUGAUGAACAGCACGAAAGGGUUUCAUAUCAAGCAUUAGCAAAUGGGACUGACCAUUUUUCGGAGGUUAAUCUGCUCGGACAAGGAAGCUAUGGUGCAGUUUAUAAGUGCACUUUACAUGACAAGGGAAUUACCGCAGCUGUAAAGGUAUUCAACGUAUGGCAAUCUGGUUCUACUAGAAGUUUUGUGGCUGAAUGUGAGGCACUGCGAAGGGUGCGCCACCGAUGUCUCAUAAAGAUCAUCACCUGUUGCUUAAGCAUUGAUCACCAAGGCCAAGAAUUCAAGGCACUGGUUUUUGAGUUCAUGCCCAAUGGUAACCUAAAUGGUUGGCUGCAUCCAGCAUCCAAAAUACAGAGUCUGAGCAAUACGCUCAGCUUAGCUCAGAGACUGGACAUUGCGGUAGAUAUCAUGGAUGCUCUGGAUUAUCUUCACAAUCAGUGUCAACCGCCUAUUAUCCAUUGUGAUCUCAAACCAAGUAACAUCCUCCUUGCCGAAGAUAUGAGUGCUCGGGUUGGAGAUUUCGGCAUAUCAAAAAUCCUUCCUGACGACACUAGCAAAACUCUGCUGAAUUCAGUUAGCUUCACUGGACUAAGAGGUUCCAUCGGAUAUGUCGCUCCAGGUAACAGAAACUAACACUGAUAUUGCUAUGUUCAGUUUUUUAACUUCCAUUUUGCCAAGUCCAGUUAUCUCGGCAUGCACGUUCAUAAGUAGCUUGCCAUGAAUCCACUGACCAAAUAGUGUCUGAAAUCUGAAUUGACUGCAGAGUACGGCGAGGGUCGCGCUGUCUCAACUCUUGGAGAUGUUUACAGCCUCGGCAUACUGUUGCUUGAGAUGUUCACCGGGGUGAGCCCUACUGACGACAUGUUCAAAGACUCCUUGGACCUUCAUAAGUUCGCCGAGGCCGCUCUCCCGGACAGAGCCUUGGAGGUAGCCGACCCGGCAAUCUGGCUUCAUGAAGAAGCAAAGGGGAAAGACCCUGCCACGGUGAGAAGCAGAAGCGAGGUGUGCUUGGCUUCAGUGAUCGGGCUUGGCGUGUCCUGCUCAAAGCAGCUGCCAAGGGAGCGGACGGCGAUGCGGGAUGCUGCCGCUGAGAUGCGUCCGAUCAGAGAUGCCUUCCUGGUUCAAUGUGCAACAGAGACUUGGGCUGCAGUCGGCACCACCGGCCUUGGAAGCGCAGACAGUUGAAUGGUGGACGGAGCUACGGUCUCUUGACGCACCAAGGAGCACCGGACUAGCAACUCUGCAACUAACAGAGUGGAGAAAGCGCCCCUUAAUGAAAAGAAAAACAGCCGGUGCAAGGCUUUAUACAAAGAAUGUGACAGCCACUGCGUGUAUCCGAGGCUUUAUACAACUCUGCCUUAUCUAAUCUACCGAGGAUUGUUGCGUAUGGAUGCGUAUAGAUUAUGCACGUACUCCCUCCUCCGUCCUAAAAUAAACGCACAUCUCGUUUCUCGAGGAGUCAAACUUUUAAGUUUGACUAAAAUUUAUAAAAAAAAUGUACUACUAUUUAUAAUGUAUAAUAAAUGUCAUUAUUGAGCAUUGGGUAUACUUUCCUAAUACAUUUAUUUGAAGAUGCAAAUAUUGUUACUAUUUUCUAUAUUCUUAGUCAAACUUAAAAACCCGUCAUGGGGAUUAGUCACGAUAUAAGUAGGGACUAGCAAGCAUCAAAACCCCAUUCACUGCCCAUCUAUCGCUCAAAUAAAAGAAACCAUUGCAUAUGGUGGCGAUGCGCUCGCGAGCCUUUCUCCAACCUUUCUGCUCUCGCGAGCCUUGAACUCGCAUGGAACAGUUUUAGUGAGAGUGUGCCUCCAACUUUGGGAAGAUUGUGAAGCCUUAUUUACCUGUCCUUAAGUGGCAAUAAGUUAUGAUCGAAUGAUAAGGACGGAUUGGAAUUCAUCACCAUGCUAGCAAACUGCAGCCAGCUUCAGCAACUGGCUUUUGAUAAUAAUUCAUUCAUCGGUGAACUUCCUAGCUCAAUAGCAAAUCUAUCGACAACUCACCAAUUACUCUAUAUAGGAAACAAUUGGAUUUCGGGAUUUAUUCCAUCCAGCAUAGGUAAUUUGCUUGGUCUAGAACUGCUUACGUUGGCAAAUACUUUCAUAUCCGGAGUGAUUCCAGAUAGCAUUGGUCGCAUAGAAGACAUGUCCGUGUUAGGCAUUUACUACGCUAGCUUGUCAGGCAUCAUACCUUCAUCACAAGAAACCUUACACAGUUGAAAACUCUAUGCAUACGAUAGCAACUUGGAGGGUCCAAUUCCAGCAAGCUUGGGGAACUUAAAGAAUCUUUUUGUUCUUGAUCUUUCAACGAAAGUGUGUUACCCGUUAAGAUUUCAUGUCGAAGCAGAGCAUAAACCUCUCUCAAGACUGCAAAGCUAUCAUAGAGCAGAUCAGUCUGAGGGCCGGGCUAUGUACCCUUUCGGUAAGAUUACCCCAAACUAGAGUCUGUAAUUAAUUAGCCAAGACUAGAAUUACGUAGUUCUUGUGGUUGUACUGUUUUCCUGGGUGGCCGCUCCAUGUUCCAAUUAAGCAUGAUGAUCUUGUAUUAAUAAAAGGUAUAUCAUAAAUAAAACAAGUUUAAUCAUUGAGUUCAUUAAAACCAUCACAACCCAAGGUAUUGCAACUAAGCAUAUCUACCAAAAAAAGGGUAAAACCCAGGUUGACAAAGAAUGAUCAUAAAAACUAGGUAAACCUUAAUAGGGCCCAUCAAUUUUAAGUGCACAGCAAUGCAAAAGUGAUUAAAUAUAGUUAUUGGGACAAAAGCACAUGGACACACUUGCCUUUCUCCAAAGAAUAGCUGCUCUGAUUAUCUUCAACUCUUGUUCCUCAAAGCUCUCGAACAACGUUCCUUAUACUCACAUCAAUCAUUGGCACAAGCAUACAAAGCAAACAACAAUCACAACUAAGAACAAUACAUCAAUCAUAGGAAAGCUUUAAAAGAGCGCACUAAAGGAUAAGGCUUGAAUCUGAAACACUGGGAACUAAACUAUGGUUGAAAUGACAAAGCUAUCGAGAGAUUUGAAUUAUAAAAGAAAGAGAAAAGCCUAUGCGCUUCAUAUAUUUCAAUAAAGAAAAUAAUGUAAAGAUAUUUUAGAGAAACAUCCUUAGCAAGUUAUAUUUAUAUAUGAAAAGAUAAUGUAGAACUUAGUCAAAUUUUAUUUAUAAACAUUCAAGUACAAUUUAUGCAAAUUAAAAAUUUAAUUUGAAAAUAAAGUAUAUGGAAACAUCUAAGCGCAUAGCUUUAUGAUUCGGGUUGAACUAACCAAAUAUAAUUCAAAAACAUAUUUAUAUUUAUAUUAAGUCAAAUUAACAUAUAAUUAUGAAACCUCGAGAUAUAACUUAUGUAGCUUUUAUUUAGAAAACAAAUUGAAUAAACAUUAAUCAAUUUAAGUUCAAUUAUGAACCACCGUGGUGCAUCUCUAAUUCACUUUUAAUUGAAAGAGUUAUUUAAAUAAGCAUUAACUAAAUUAAUAUUUAUUAUGAAAAGUGGUUAUAACACUAAGUAGCUUUUAAUUAAGGAAGGCAUGUUUAACAUGCAUUAAUUAGAUUAAUAUUAAAUUUAUUUUAAAAACAUGCAUGAUGGAAAGAUCAGUACUAACAUGUAAUUUGUGUUAUCACGAACCUAACUCAACAAGAACGGAUAUAAACGGAGCUGUAACGAGGAGUCUAUGGGUUAAACAAGGUUGCAGGGCCUAAUCACGAUUAACGGAAGGUUGUUGGGGCUAGCAAGGAAGAUUUGCAAGACACUGGAAUAGAGCUCGUUAUUAGGUCAAAGCAUAGGGUUAGAUCUGUUAAAGUGCUCAGGUUGGACUUGGUUGCACGGAUACAAUCUAAUCAGGGACAUGGAUGAAAAAAACAAGACACAAGGAAAAACUAACUAUAUAUAGAGCUUUCUAGGGGCCUAUGCGCAAAAGCACCAUAGCUCAGCAUCCAUGGUGGACGGGCUCCUUGACGGCAAAAUCCUCAUGCUGGAUUUAUAAGCCUGGUAGUCCACCAAGGGGUUUCCCAAGUAGUUGAUUUGUAGGUGAGGGUGAUUGUGAAACCAAGAACUCGAAGGUGAUUGUGAGAACACGAAGGGACACAAAGGUUUUAGACAUGUUCGGGCCUCCGAAGAGUAAUACCCUACGUCCUAUAUGCUGGUUUGUAUUGCUUGAGAUUGAUGUGAUUGUUGCGAUAUCCUCGGGGGUGCCCUUGGCCACCUUAUAUAGGUUGACGACCAAGAGUUAAAAGUCGGUUUGAAUCUAAUCUACUCGGUAGUUACAUGGAAAGUAAUCUGAGUUGGACUACAAUACACGUUCCAUGAUAUCCGAGCAGAUUUGAACUGUCUUGUUGCCUUGACUUGCACUCCAAGUAACUUCAUAUCCUCGGCCCACACGCCCUGGUCGAGCGAGCCCUACUUGUCAGGUUCGGCCAGUAUCCUGGUCGGCUGGGGCCCAUGGGGUACCCAUUUCUCUCAAGCCCCCGAGCGUUGUGUAGGCAAAUAGAAACUUGAGGUCACCAAAACGAAACUUGAAAUGAAGUCGGCUGAAGCUGCGAAGGCGUCAUUGCGACGGAGAGGCUGCGCAGUGCUUAAAAGAAGAAAAUCUGAGCAAACACAGAGCCAACGCGUAGAGCGAAGACGAGUGCCGAGUUGAUGGAUGCUGGCAUCCAGUAGGUCGGAGCGAAGGUUACGGAGGGCGUCGCAAGAGAAACUCCGUAGGAGUAGCCCCCGAGCAUUGAAACGAUUAAGAUAAUCGGUACAUUGGUCAAAGUACAAAAAAUUAUCCCAUGAUGUAGAUCCUAGUGCUCGAACACAAGGAUGGGUGCAGCCAUGGAGGCCCGCCCACUAGAAGUAGGCACCCAGACCCAAGGACGAGGACUGAUAGGACCGCGUAGCCACGCUGACCUGAAAUAGGCGUCCAACCCCCGAGGACGAGGACUAGCGGAGCCGCGGAGGCAUGCUGACCUGAAGUAGGCGCCCAGCCCCCGAGGAUGAGGACUGGCGGAGCCAUGAAGGCACGCCGACUUGAAAUAGGCACCAAGUGUAACAACUCUACCUAAAUUAAGUGCUUUUAAAUAUAAACUAGUGGCUAAUCACUAAGUUAAAGAAGUAAAAUGACCAUUUUAACCCUAAGAAGCUCUUUUUGGAGUUUGAAAUAAAACUUGGAAUUUUAUAUGCAAACUUAAAAUUUUGCCCAAACAAGAGUUGUAAAACUUUCAAUUUCAAACAACUUUUGUUAAACGAACUUUGACUAAUUCAGAGUGGGAGGAAGUCAAAAAUAGCAAUCAAAACUGGAGUACUAAAGAACCCUAUAAACCUCCUAAGUCCUGGUUUUCAAAUUUUCCCUCCAACUUUGCAAGCCUUUAUCUCAUGAUUUCUUAUCCAAACUCAAGUCAGGCUCUUAAUAAAAGUUGUAGUCCCUCGAGUGUGUUCCAACUUUGUUACACUGACCCAGGUCCAAAUCGGGCCAGAACCUGUUCAAAAUCUUGGUCAAAGUGAGGUAAAACAGUCAACUCAUCCCUUGAGCCCCACAACGCUAAGUCUGAAAAACUGCUCAGAGUGCACCUCUUGGCGAGGGCGUUCCUCCAAAUUUUUGAACUAAACUCAAGAAAUACCCUAAAUAAAAGCUUAAACCCAGGGACCCCUACGUAGUUAAACCUUAAACCCAGGGGCUUGCUUGCAACUUUGUCACAGCUUUUCUUUUAAAUAAUAGGCAGAAAUAUGGUUGAAUUUUGUAAAUGCCCAGUAAAUCGUAGAAUAAUCAUAAAAAUGCCAAACUACUUUUGCUAGAAUCCUUUCUCUGUCUAGUUCCUAAGAAAAAUAAGUUUGCUCAUGUUACUGUUGUAAAUAAUAUCCUACGCUUUUAAUCAUGUUGUAGGCCUUUUAAAUCCUAAUAAAUAGAAGAAAAGUGGGAAAAAUGUGGAACCAACUCUGUGAUGCUUGUUUCUAUGUGUAGAAGCUUAGAAAAAUAGUUAGGGCUCUGGUGUAGCACUUUAAGUCACUGUUUUGACUUUAAAUUGGGAAUCUAAGUAUAAAUCUUCCUUUUUGCAUAAGUUUUGAUCUAGAGCUUAGAAAAAUGUGAAACUAGUUGGGUUAAUUUUGUUUUGCUGUAAAGUUCUCAGGAAAAAUAUAAAUUGUUGUGCAAAUCAGAAAUAAAAACACCUUCCUUGCUAAGCAUGUUUAAUUAAGAAAAGAAAUAGAGUAAAUAGUAACCUUGUCCAAAAAUUACGAAAAAAUUCACCAAAGCACCUGUAACAUACCCUUAACACACUGCUUAAGUUUCACCCUCUGUUGCACAAUAAUUUUGAAGAUGGAAAAAAUUAAGCUCAGUUUACCUUUAAUAAUAAAAUGCAUGUAACUUCUUUUUAAGUCAUCCUUUGGCCCCCAAACUUUUACAGUAACCUAGUGAUGGCUUAAGUGAGGUGCUGUAAUUUUAUCAAUGACUUUAACUACUUUUUGGAUAUGAAGUCAUUUUGGUUAAUUAAUCAACCUAAAGGAAUAAAAGGAGAGCGCGAAUUCUAAUACGAUAAAUAAGUGGACACUGAAAGAGGUACAUAAAAACAUUCAGAAGUAAGUAAUUAUUCCAAUGCAUCCAAACCACCCAACACGACCUUUCACACUCUUUAUGCAACUCUAAAUGCAAGAAAGCUAUAUAUGUACACAAUCGCCAUUCAACGCGAACUCAAGUUUAAAACGACCACUUUCGUUUGAAGUUAAAAAAAGUAAACCUCAUCAAAGUGUUUGUGGCUGUUGUGACUCUUGUCUUAAGCCAUGCCUUGUGUCGUUGAAUAAACGCGCGAGUCCAACUAAAUUUUUGUAUGUGCAUGUCGUAUAGAAGCAACUCUCGCCGACGGAACCUACGAGCUCCACCCGGCACCAGAGAAAGACCCCGCUACGGAGCUUCACCACUUGGAAGGCGAGCCCGAACCGGAGCAAGAUCCUGAGGACCCGCUAACUUUUCCUGAAGGCAAGCCCCGGAGCAUAAAUUCCUAUCUUUGAAUACUUGCAAUAUUAUUGAACACUUUGAUUGCGCAUUUACGUUUCUAGGAGUUGUAAUGAAACCUUAGAUGCAUGAACUUAGUACCUUGUUUGAAUACUAGUUGCUAAAGUCGAGUAGUUGCAAUGCUUAAUAGGUUCCGGUAAAAGUCGAGUGAUUUCCUAUCACUCGCGAGUUAUAGGAGUUGAAUGUUUACUUAUGUUGCAACUAUAAGGACGAUGGAUGUGGUCGGGCUUAUGUUCGAUACUUGGUGGUUUUUCCCCGUCUGUCUAAAGGAAAUUGAUCUAAGGUUGAAAUGUGUCGGCGUUCGUGAUCAAGUGUUUGAAAGUACUAAUCUCAUACCUAGUAUGGGAUGGGGAAGCCUAGUACCUGAUUGAACUGGGGCAUGGCAUACUCCCCCAGCUGCCUUGGAACACCGUUCCCAUGGUGCAUCAUGUGGGUGCAAGUGCGGUCAUAGUACGGCAGAGGCCGGGAUUAUGGAGCAUGGCAUGCCAAAGGCAGUUGGCCCUGACACGUGCCUAAGGGAUCGAUGGGGACGGCUGACAAAUGAAGCAACCCUUCGUGGUGCGCGGAUGUCGUGAGAUUAGGUUCGCCAUGCAUGGUUAAUAAAUUCGAAUCGAUUCGUCUGCCUCUCACAGUUUGGGACUACUUGAUCGCUAUUCUGCACUGAGUAACGAUGAAACAUGAUUACGAGAUUAAGUUGAUGCUUGUUAUUUAACUGCUUGGAAAUCAUGCUUGUUUAGCAUAAGUGGCUAAUCUAGAAUGGUUAAAGAACGUAGAACUUGAGCUAAAAUAUUGAAAGUAAGGACUGAUUGUAGACGCUUGUGGCAAAGAAAUCGCAGAGCCAGAAAGCCUUGCAUGUCUAGGUCUUGGUAAAGCUUUUCACUCGACGGGUCAGUCUUGCUGAGUAUUAGUUGCUCAGCCUUGUUGUGGCUUAAUCUUUUCCAGUGAUGUCAAUAGUUUGGUUGCGGGCACCACUUGGCCUACCCAGCUCCCUCCGGGCUGGACAGUCGAGUGGGAUCCCUCCUCGGACGGCGAGGGAAGGGAUUUUUGAUGUCAUGAUUGGAUCCGUCGUGAUGUCAUGUAUCGAUGUUUAGCUUCCGCUUGUUUUAUCCGACUUUUCGAACCUUGCAACUUGUUUGAAUUUUCAGAAACUCUGAUGUAAUAAUUUGUGACACUAAGGAAUGUGAUGGAAUGUAGUAAUCUCUGUGCUACUCACCUUCAUGUGAGCGAUGCUUCUCGAUCCUGUUUAGGUGGUUCAUCGGAUGAAAUCCAACGGUCGACCAGUUUGACUUGCUUAAAGUGCAUAAUCGCGUGUCAGGCGACUUCAACGCAUUUUAGUCAGGUUAAUUUGGGUGGUUCCGCCACAGCUAGCAUCAGAGCUCGAAGCACGGUAUGGAGAACAACAAACCUUAAAACACUUUUCCUGACUAAAACUUGCAAGAAACGAGUUGAAAAAUUCGUAAGUUCGUUAAGGAUGAAUUUAGUACGAGGAGCCCUAGGGGAAUUUUGGGUCUUUUAAGGUGGCUAAUAAUUAUUGGUUAUCUUCUGACUUCCAGCACUUGUUACCACGUCUAUCAUACGUGUGCCGAGAUCUGCAUCGCGAGUGUGCGAAGGGUGAUAGGAAUUCGAUUCCAACGAGCCUAUCAUCACGGUUGUUUCGCCCACGUCUAUUAUACGUGCGCAGGUUCCGUAUGUUAAUUCAUGCGAAGGAUGGUAUGGUUCGAUUCCAACGAGCCUAUCAUCACGGUUGUUCGCCCACGUUUAUUAUACGUGUGCAUGAUUCCGCAUCACGAGAAUGUGAAGGGUUAUAUGGUUCUAUUCAAGGGAACCUAUUUCCACGGUUGUUGCGCUGUCCAUGCAGCGUUAAACGCAUGGGUGCCGUUUCUAUAGUGAACGGUAAUGAUUGUGGACGCUUUUGUGAGUACUGGCACGGAAAGUUCAAGCUAUGAUGUGUUUUUCUGCGGGUACACUAACAACGUUGCGUACGAAACGAUGCUUAGCAACUCGACUAGUUAUUAUAGUGAGAGUCGUAUUGUUGCCUUGCCACCGGCACUAACCACGUAAGUUCAAAGAUUUUUGGCGAUUAUUUUUGGUUGAGAGGAUGACUAGGACGUGCAUGCAUUAAGAAAUAAAAACCGCAACCUAAGGAAAUAAAACCAAGCUCGAGUGUGUCGUAAAAAGAAAUGCACCGCGAUAAGGAUCGUCUAGUUGUCCUUUUUUUUCCGCCAUGCACGUUUAAAUAAAUCUUUCAGGUUGUUCCAUAUGAUAACUUCAGAAACUUUAUAUAAGAAAUUUGUGUUAAAUCUCCCAAGUAAACUGCUGAAAAUUUUUCACAAAGUACUACCACUUGGGUUGAGAGUUGUGAUCAGUUUUGUGACCCCCUGUUGGCUGUUAGCCCUGAGUGCACACCAGUUGGAAUUCUGCUGUUUCGACCACCUUAAGAACUUUUUCUGCUAGGAGUCCCUUAAGAAACGUUUCUCAAAACUUAAUAAAGAACUUACUGGUAAAAUUGCAGCUUCAUUAGGUCUCUUGUUUUGAAGUUAUGUUCAGUUUACUUUGACUCGGGUCUGAAAAAUUCUAGCAUGUACACUUAAUGGGAAUCUGAGGUUAUCACCUUGUUAGGUCCUGUUCUAGCCCUACCUUUGAAUACCAAACUUGUUACGCACUAUCUAAAGAACAUGCUGGUAAAAUUUGAGAAAUUUUGGAUGAAUAAUUGCUGAGUUAUGAGCUUUUCUCUAACUGCUAGAAAUCUGUUUUGAUUUCCAAGUGUUAACUCCGUUUCUCACUUGUCCUUUGGUUACAGUGGCUCAGCCUGUGCACGUUGCAGUCGGUACGGAUGGCACCACCUACUCACGGUGCCUUCACUACGAGGGUUUCCUAGCCGUACUGUGGGACACCCUGCGCUCUUUUGGGUACCCGUCACCGCCAGUUUACGCGGGACGUGCAUACCAGGACCGCGGGAUUCCGCGGAGUCGCGUGCACGUGCGGGUGCCCCCGCCUCCGGGUCAGCCACAGUGUCCGCUUUUGGAGGUGGUGGCCGAGGGAUAGACACUACAGGACACCUGGGAGUUCGCAGCCUUGCAGACCCUGACACAGUUUUGCCGGGCACACCCUCUUGAGAUCGUGCUGGACCCGAUUGGGUUGUGCUCUGCUCGGGAUACGAGGGACCCGGAUUGGUUGGAUCGUAUGGAGCAUAUGGACUUACUCAGGGUUAUGGAUCCACAACGCACGAUUUUUGUUUCAGCUCGUUGCCUGAACGUGUUCUUCCGGAUGGUUGAGAUGCAGAGCCGAGCGAUGGCUACGGUGAUCGGGAUGGCAGUGGCCAACCAGGUCGCUUUAUCUGCCGUGCAGAGUGGCAUGGUGGACCAGUCGCUUGAGCUAGUACAGAAGGAUGUCCAGAUUGCUGAGAUGCAGGACAAGAUCACUCGUUUGGAGGAGGAGAUUGUGGAUAUGGAGCAUGAUAUGGAGAUCUUGGCUGACCAGUUCUAUGAUGUGAACAUGGAGCCGGCGAACGUCAAUGAGCACCUGCAGGAGCAUCACGAUGAGCUUAAUGCCAUUCACACCUUAGAGAUGCAGCAGGAUGAGCCGAUGGCCCAGGAGGAGGAGCCUGAGGAGAUCGAGGGCUUUUCGAGCAUGGACUAUGAGGAGGCCUCUCCGCAGCCUCCAGUUGGCGAUGCUCACUCUCCUGCCCUUAGCUUUGCCUCCGUGGGCAACCUCGACGACUUCUAGUUGUGUUGACUUGUUGUUGAGGGGUUCUCUUUUGUUUUUACUCCUCGGCGACCUAUAUUUUGGCUAGUGAUAUAAUAGGUUAGCUUGAGUUGAGUAUUUGGGAGUUGAGAAACUGAUUCUAUGUUGGAUUGCCGUUGCUAUCUUUAGUGUAAUGUCUGAAAUUUAUGGCAGAACUGCAGUGACUGUUUCUCCUCAGUUUUACCCCUGUCUCCACUCGUUUUUGAGCCAAAGUUUGAAUACCAAAGUUGUGCAAAAACUUCUGUUCUAACUAUUCGUAAAUUUUCAGCUCCUUCGGAUCUGUCAAACGCCCGCUAGAGCCAAAACCCCACUGUUCAGCUUGCUGAAAAAUCAGCCGGACAGCAACUUGCUAGAACGUCUAAACGACCUCUUUUCCUUCCUUUUCGGUCGACAAGCGUAACAUGAAAGUGGUUGUGUACGAUAUAUUCUAACCCUCACUUAAGGAUGAGAACCUUGUGCACUUCGAAGAAGAGAUAUGCACCUACUCAAUAAAAGUUUUGAUUGUUGCUUUUGCACCAUCGGCAAGACUAGCGUUUAUCAUUUCCGCACAUAAUGUUUCCUUAUGGUUAAACAAGAUUUUGGGGCUAUGUGACUAAUGGAAAGGUGAAUCUUGCAGAUGGCACAUCGCAUAUGCUCCGGCUCCAUUCCUAGUGGCAGCGAGGUGCCUCCCCCACCUCCGCCUCCAACCACCCUCGAGGCAAUCUUGGCGGCUCAAACCGAGCUGCUGAGGCACAUCGCUCAGGGACAGCAGCAGCAGCAGCCCUAGGGAGGAAGAGCCCAUCAGCAGCCUCAUGUUGCUCGCUACGAGGACUUUCUGGGGACCCAGCCUCCUCUGUUCCACAAGACGGAGGACCCGCUUGACGCCGAUGCCUGGAUUCGUGCCAUCGAGUCCAAGUUCUCCCUUCUCACCGCCCAUUGCCCGGAGGAGAACAAGGUUCGGUUCGCCGCGCAACAGUUGCAUGGUUCUGCUCUCCUGUGGUGGGAUCACUACCACGCCAUGCAGCCGGCCGACCACGUCGUCGGCUGGGAGGAAUUCAAGACAGCGUUCAAGGGCCAUCACAUCCCUGAGGGUCUUCUGGAGCGCAAGCUCAAUGAGUUCCUGGCUCUCACCCAGGGAGGCCGCGACGUCCUGCACUAUGCGCAGGCUUUCAAUGACCUGUGUCGCUAUGCAGGCUAUCAUGCAGACUCUGAUGAGAAGUAGAGGGACCGCUUCCACAGAGGCUUGAGCCUGGAGCUCAAGGAAAGCCUGAAUCCCAUCAAGGUGGAUUCCUACAAUGAACUGGUGAACCUGGCAAUUUCCCAGGAAGAUUGCAUGAGGGCUCUCAAGGCUGACCUGAAGCGAAAGGCUCCAAUGCCGGCACCCGGCCCACCGGCCCAGAAAUACAAAGUGGUUCCCCCACAGGCGUCUCACAGGCCCGCACAACCUAGGAGAUGGGUUGCUCGACCUCCACCGCAGGCAGCACCUCAUUUCCCUGGAUUCCAGCCGCAAGGGCCCCGACCUACUCUUCCUAUGCCGCCAUGCCUAGUCACUGGAAACCGCUGUUUCACCUGCGGGAACCCAAGACACUUUGCCAAGAACUGCCCCCGCAACAAGAAUCAACGACCCGGUCAGAGCAAUGCACUGAGCAACAAGGGGAAGAAGCCGAGGGUUCAGGUCCGACAAGGCAGGCUGAACUACACCACCCUUGCUGAACUUCCAGAGGGUGCACCAGUGAUGACGGGUACCUUUUCUAUCUAUAACCAACCCGUCCUUAUUCUGUUUGAUUCGGGAGCAUCUCAUAGUUUCAUUGGGACUAGAACCAGUGCUAAGUGUGGGUUAGAUUUCUGUCACACAAAAGGUGCUUAUAUAAUCUCUACCCUGGGUAGGAAAGUAACUUCACACCAAGUGAGCCGCAAGGUGCCUAUCCAGUUGGGGAGAACCCUUUUUAAGGAAAACCUCCUUAUCCUUGGGAUAGAAGGAAUAGAUAUUAUCUUGGGUAUGGAUUGGAUGACUCGACAUCGAGUGGCACUAGACAUCCCUGCCAGAGCCGUCCAUAUAAACUCACCCAUUUAUGGUAGCUCAAUCAUACACUUACCCCCCCGAGAGUGCCAAACUUUUUGUGCCUAUCCCUUGACUGAAGCCCGUUUAGAAGACAUCCCAGUGGUGUGCGAGUAUCCCGAUGUGUUUCUAGAUGAUUUGCUGGGUAUGCUGCCUAAUAGAGAUAUCGAGUUUGCUAUUGAGUUGCAACCAGGUACUGCCCCAAUUUCAAAGAGACCGUACCGGAUGCCACCAGCCGAGCUGGCAGAAAUGAAAGCUCAGUUUCACGAUCUGUUGGACAAAGGUUUUAUUCAUCCAAGUACAUCACCUUGGGGUGUCCCCGCCUUGUUUGUGAAAAAGAAGGACGACAGUCUGCGUAUGUGUCUGGACUACUGCCCUCUCAAUGCGGUGACGAUAGAGAACAAGUACCCACUACCCCGCAUUGAUGUUCUGUUCGAUCAGUUAGCUGGAGCUAGAGUGUUUUCCAAAAUUGACCUCCAUUCUGGCUACCAUCAAAUCAAGAUCCACCCGUGCGACAUUCCUAAGACUGCUUUCUCUACACGGUAUGGACUCUAUGAGUACUUAGUCAUGUCAUUUGGGCUUACUAAUGCACCAGCUUAUUUCAUGUACCUCAUGAAUUCGGUGUUUAUGCUCGAACUCGACAAAUUCAUCGUGGUUUUCAUUGACGAUAUCUUGGUGUACUCAAAGGAUGAGGAAGAACAUGCAGAGCACCUACAUACUGUACUCCAACGCUUAAGAGAUCACCAACAAUAUGCCAAAUUCUCUAAGUGUGACUUCUGGCUGGACAGUGUUAAAUUCUUGGGGCACACCAUAUCCAGAGACGGUAUAGCAGUAGACCCAAGCAAAGUGCAAGAAGUAAUGGACUGGAAGUCGCCCACUUCAGUUCAUCGGAUUCGAAGUUUUCUCGGGUUAGCAGGUUACUACCGUCGCUUCAUUCCUGACUUCUCAAAAAUAGCUAAGCCAAUGACGAAACUGCUAAGGAAGGGAGUUAAGUUCAUGUGGAGUGACAAAUGUGAAGAAGCCUUCCACACCCUGAGACAAUUACUGACCUCUGCGCCGGUUUUAGCUCAGCCCAACACCACUAGGCUGUUUGACGUAUAUUGCGAUGCCUCUAGCACUAGACUGGGUUGUGUUCUUAUGCAAGACAGCCGAGUCAUUGCCUAUGCCUCACGAGCGCUACGGCCACAUGAGUUGAACUACCCUACCCAUGAUCUCGAGUUAGCAGCAAUCGUUCAUGCUCUGAAAUUAUGGAGGCAUUAUCUUAUGGGAACUCGAUGCAACAUCUAUACGGAUCACAAGAGUCUUAUGUACAUCUUCACUCAAGCAGACCUCAACAUGCGCAAGAGAAGAUGGUUAGAAUUAAUCAAAGAUUAUGACCUAGAAGUGCACUAUCACCCAUGCAAAGCCAAUGUAGUUGCCGAUGCUCUCAGCCGCAAGAUCCAUUGUAACUGCUUAUCGGCAAUUAAUUAUGCCGAGACCCUCUGUCAUGAAAUGGCUAAACUCAACUUGGAAAUUGUUCCCCAUGGCACCUUAAGUCAUAUUUCUUUAGAGCCUACCCUGCUUGACCAAAUAAUUUUAGCACAACUAGAGGAUGAAGAGAUAAACCUUAUCAAGGAGAAACUCGCACAGGAGGAUGAGGGAUAUAAGCAUUUCUGAUAGGAUUGGAGAGGAGUGGUACAUUAUGAAGCUCGACUCGUAGUUCCAAAUGAUCCCGAUCUUAGGAAACAAAUUCUGGACGAAGCACACCUUUCCAAGUUCUCGAUUCACCCUGGUAGUACCAAGAUGUACCACAACCUCUGACAAAAUUUCUGGUGGAGUGGAAUGAAACCCGACAUUGCACGAUAUGUUUCAGAGUGUGAUACCUGUCAGCGAGUCAAAGCAAGCCACUUAAGGGUAGCUGGCCCCUUGCGGCCACUGCCUAUUCCCUCGUGGAAGUGGGAGGACAUAAGCAUUAUAGUCAGACUACCCAAUACCUCCCGCAAACAUGAUUCGAUAUGGGUUAUAGUAGACCGACUUACCAAAACAGCGCAUUUUCUUCCAGUACACACCACCCGCGCCAUACAGAAAUAUGCAGAACUGUACCUUGACCGGAUUGUUUCCUUGCAUGGUGUACCUAAGACGAUCAUCUCUGAUCGAGGUAGUCAGUUUGUAGCACGCUUUUGGGAGCAGUUGCAGUUUUCACUUGACACUAAAUUUAUUCGUAGUUCCACAUAUCAUCCUUAAACCGAUGGACAAACUGAAAGGGUUAACCAGAUUUUGGAAGAUAUGCUACGCGCCUGUGCCAUUCAUUAUGACAAGAACUGGGAUAAGUGUUUGCCAUUAGCGGAAUUCUCAUACAACAAUAGUUACCAAGCUAGCCUGAAAAUGGCGCCUUUUGAAGCCUUGUAUGGACGUAGAUGCCGAACCCCGCUAAGCUGGUCGCAACAGUGUAUGGACCUGACCUGGUCAUGGAGGCCGAAGAAAAAGUAAGAGUUAUUCGUGAAAAUCUCAAGGCCGCCCAGUCUCGACAAAAGAGCUAUUCCGAUCAAAGAAGAAGACCUAUCCAAUUUGAGGUUGGGGAUUUUGUAUACCUGCGGGUUUCACCGACCAAAGGCGUACAACGUUUUGGAGUAAAAGGAAAGUUGGCUCCGCGCUAUAUUGGUCCCUAUGAGAUUGUAGAAGUUUGUGGACCCGUAGCGUAUCGAGUUAAACUUCCAGAGAAGAUUGCAGCGAUACACGAUGUUUUCCAUGUCUCACAACUCAAGAAGUGCAUUCGGGUUCCAACUGAAAUCAUCGCCUCGGAAGAAUUGGAGAUUGAACCCGAUUUAACAUACAAGGAGUAUCCUGUUAAGAUCCUUGACCGGAAGGAAAGACAUACUCGUAGGCAAAUGGUAAAAAUGUACAAAAUUUGGUGGAGUAACCAUACGGAAGAUGAAGCGACCUGGGAGACGGAAGAGUAUCUCAACACUAACUUCCGCGGUUUUCUUUUCGACCAGGAAGGUACGUUGCACCGGCCACACUAGUUCCUUUCUGCACUUGAAUCUCGGGGCGAGAUUCCUUUAAGGGGGGUAGGCUGUAACAACUCUACCUAAAUUAAGUGCUUUUAAAUAUAAACCAGUGGCUAAUCACUAAGUUAAAGAAGUAAAAUGACCAUUUUAACCCUAAGAAGCUCUUUUUGGAGUUUGAAAUAAAACUUGGAAUUUUAUAUGCAAACUUAAAAUUUUGCCCAAAUAAGAGUUGUAAAACUUUCAAUUUCAAACAACUUUUGUUAAAGGAACUUUGACUAAUUCGGAGUGGGAGGAAGUCAAAAACAGCAAUCAAAACCGGAGUACUAAAGAACCCUAUAAACCUCCUAAGUCCUGGUUUUCAAAUUUUCCCUCCAACUUUGCAAGCAUUUAUCUCACGAUUUUGUAUCUAAACUCAAGUCAGGCUCUUAAUAAAAGUUGUAGUCCCUCAAGUGUGUUCCAACUUUGUUACACUAACCCAGGUCCAAAUCGGGCCAGAACCUGUUCACAAUCUUGGUCAAAGUGAGGUAAAACAGUCAACUCAUCCCCUGAGCCCCACAACGCUAAGUCUGAAAAACUGCUCAGAGUGCACCUCUUGGCGAGGGCGUUCCUCCAAAUUUUUGAACUAAACUCAAGAAAUAACCUGAAUAAAAGUUUAAGUCCUCAGUUUGGAGAGCAACUCCUUCAAUAACACUUCAGUCUAAUUCAACUUGGAAGCUGCCCUAAAUUCGACUCAAACAUAGCUAAGUUCCUGAAAUUCCACCUCUCCGGCCAAAAUUGGCUAAGUCUGGAUUUCCAGAUUUUUAGCAAACUUUGGCACGAGAUAUCUUCAAAUCCUUUCACAAUCUAAACCAGCACCUUAAACCAAGUUUGAACUACGUCCAGAGUUGAACAAGUUUGUUUAAAGGAGUUUUGGAAGAUGUGUUGCAAAAUCUUAAGUUAGGAUCUCCCAAAGCCGGUCGGGCUUGCUGCCCGAAGGGGGCCUCGACGCCCGCGCGCCAGAGCACGUUCGCCCGCGCGCCACGCGUCGCGUGGCCGCCGGCCACCGGCAGUUCGCCGGCGCCCUAUCACCGGCAAGACAACGAUAGGGCAAGGGCCACGGCGCCCAACCCGCGCUUGCGACAGGACGGUGCGAAUGCCGGGCUAGCGAACCGCCGGCCGCGCGGGUGUCCUUUUCCCCCUGCCACGGCUCUGCUCCGCCAACCGUGCUCCGCCCGUCCGCGGGAGAAGCCGCCACGCCGAUGACAUCCCGCGCCUCCGCCCGCUCGCCCAACCCCAAUGGUAGCCCUCCGCUUCGCCCGCCCGACAGACCGGAAGCCUCAGACACGCAUCGCCCAAGGCCAAUCCCCGCCGGAGACCACUCGGAGCUCCGACUCCUCUGCCCAAUGGCGCCGCUGGCCAAUGGCCGCCUCGCCCGCGCACCCGCCGCACCUGGCCUUAUCCUUCCUCCACCAGAGCCCCGCCUCGACCCUCCGCUCCACCGCUGCCCUAUAAAAAGGUCCCUCUCACCGGCAACGCCACCCUUUGCCACCACCCACAAUCGCGCCACCGCUUCCUCCUCUGCGCCGCCACUAAUCUUCCGUGGAGCUCACCCCUCCGCGCCACCCCGCACUCCGGCGACUUCACCGCUUGCUUUGCCAACCCACCGCGCACGUCUCCGAGCAGCUCGUGGCCUCCCCGACGCCGCCGAUGCGCCGGAACGUCGCCUGCACCGCCGCCAGCCAAGCUCUGUUGCCGCCGCCGCGUUCCGAUCCCCGUCGGCCAUCUCCGUCGCCCCAACCCCGCCAAACCGAGCUCAGGUGAGCCCCCGCACCUCUCCGGCCACUUGUUGCCCCAUCCUCGCCGGCGAACCGCCGGGGAUUUCCUCACCGCCGCCGCGCGCGCCCCGGGGACCACAUUGCAUCGUCCCCAUUCUUUCCAGGGGCUUGAGCGCAAAACUCAAGGACCCCUGUGUAGUUAAACCUUAAACCCAGGGGCUUGCUUGCAAGUUUGCCACGGCUUUUCUUUUAAAUAAUAGGCAGAAAUAUGGUUGAACUUUGUAAAUGCCCAGUAAAUCGUAGAAAAAUCAUAAAAAUGCCAAACCACUUUUGCUAGGAUCCUUGCUCUGUCUAGUUCCUAAGAAAAAUAAGUUUGCUCAUGUUAAUGUUGUAAAUAAUAUCCUAUGCUUUUAAUCAUGUUGUAGGCCUUUUAAAUCCUAAUAAAUAGAAAAGUGGGAAAAAUGUGGAACCAACUCUGUGAUGCUUGUUUCUAUGUGUAGAAGCUCAGAAAAAUGGUUCGGGCUCUGGUCUAGCAUUUUAAGUCACUGUUUCGACUUUAAAUUGGGAAUCUAAAUAUAAAUCUUCCUUUUUGCAUAAGUUUUGAUCUAGAGCUCAGAAAAAUGUGAAACUAGUUGGGUUAAUUUUGUUUUGCUGUGAAGUUUGCUGGAAAAAUAUAAAUUGUUGUGCAAAUCAGAAAGAAAAACACCUUCCUUGCUAAGCAUGUUUAAUUAAGAAAAGAAAAGGAGUAAAUAGUAACCUUCUCCAAAAAUUAUGAAAAAUUCACCAAAGCUCCUGUAACAUACCCUUAACACACUGCUUAAGUUUCACCCUCUGUUGCACAGUAACUUUGAAGAUGGAAAAAGUUAAGCUCAGUUUACCUUUAAUAAUAAAAUGCAUGUAACUUCUUUUUAAGUCAUCCUUUGGCCCCCAAACUUUUACAGUAACCUAGUGAUGGCUUAAGUGAGGUGCUGUAAUUUUAUCAAUGCCUUUAACUACUAUUUGGAUAUGAAGUCAUUUUGGUUAAUUAAUCAACCUAAAGGAAUAAAAGGAGAGCGCAAAUUCUAAUACGAUAAAUAAGUGGACACUGAAAGAGGUACAUCAAAACAUUCAGAAGUAAGUAAUUAUUCCAAUGCACCCAAACCACCCAACACGACCUUUCACACUCUUUAUGCAACUCUAAAUGCAAGAAAGCUAUAUAUGUACACAAUCGCCAUUCAACGCGAACUCAAGUUUAAAACGACCACUUUCGUUUGAAGUUAAAAGAAAGUAAACCUCUCCAAAGUGUUUGUGGCUGUUGUGACUCUUGUCUUAAGCCAUGCCUUGUGUCGUUGAAUAAACGCGCGAGUCCAACUAAAUUUUUGCAUGUGCAUGUCGUAUAGAAGCAAAUCUCGCCGACGGAACCUACGAGCUCCACCCGGCACCAGAGAAAGACCCCGCUGCGGAGCUUCACCACUUGGAAGGCGAGCCCAAACCGGAGCAAGAUCCUAAGGACCCGCUAACUUUUCCUGAAGGCAAGCCCCGGAGCAUAAAUUCCUAUAUUUGAAUACUUGCAAUAUUAUUGAACACUUUGAUUGCGCAUUUACGUUUAUAGGAGUUGUAAUGAAACCUUAGAUGCAUGUACUAGUUGCUAAAGUCGAGUAGUUGCAAUGCUUAAUAGGUUCCGGUAAAAGUCGAGUGAUUUCCUAUCACUCGCGAGUUAUAAGAGUUGAAUGUUUACUUAUGUUGCAACUAUAAGGACGAUGGACAGGGUCGGGCUUAUGUUCGAUACUUGGUGAUUUUCCCCGUCUGUCUAAAGGAAAUUUAUCUAAGGUCGAAACGUGUCGGCGUUCGUGAUCAAGUGUUUGAAAGUACUAAUCUCAUACCUAGUAUGGGAUGGGGAAGCCUAGUACCUGAUUGAACUGGGGCGUGGCAUACUCCCCCGGCUGUCCUUGGAACACCGUUCCCAUGGUGCAUCAUGUGGGUGCAAGUGCGGUUAUAGUACGGCAGAGGCCGGGAUUAUGGAGCAUUGCAUGCCAAUGGCAAUUGGCCCUGACACGUGCCUAAGGGAUUGAUGGGGACGGCUGACAAAUGAAGCGACCCUUCGUGGUGCGCAGAUGUCGUGAGAUUAGGUUCGCCAUGCAUGGUUAAUAAAUUCAAAUCGAUUCGGCUGCCUCUCACAGUUUGGGACUACUUGAUCGCUAUUCUGCACUAAGUAACAAUGAAACAUGAUUAUGAGAUUAAGUUGAUGCUUGUUAUUUAACUGCUUGGAAAUCAUGCUUGUUUAGCAUAAGUGGCUAAUCUAGAAUGGUUAAAGAACGUAGAACUUGAGCUAAAAUAUUGAAAGUAAGGACCGAUUGUAGACGCUUGUGGCAAAGAAAUCGCAGAGCCAGGAAGCCUUGCAUGUCUAGGUCUUGGUAAAGCUUUUCACUCGACGGGUCAGUCUUGUUGAGUAUUAGUUGCUCAGCCUUGUUGUGGCUUAAUCUUUUCCGGUGAUGUCAAUAGUUUGGUUGCGGGCACCACUUGGCCUACCCAGCUCCCUCCGGGCUGGACAGUCGAGUGGGAUCCCUCCUCGGACGGCGAGGGAAGGGAUUUUUGAUGUCAUGAUUGGCUCCGUCGUGAUGUCAUGUAUCGACGUUUAGCUUCCGCUUUUUUUAUCUGACUUUUCGAACCUUGCAACUUGUUUGAAUUUUCAGAAACUCUGAUGUAAUAAUUUGUGAAACUAAGUAAUGUGAUGGAAUGUUGUAAUCUCUGUGCUACUCACCUUCGUGUGAGCGAUACUUCUCGAUCCUAUUUAGGUGGUUCAUCGGAUGAAAUCCGACGGUCGACCAGGUUGACUUGCUUAAAGUGCAUGAUCGUGUGUCAGGCGACUUCAAUGCAUUUUAGUCAGGUUAAUUUGGGCGGUUCCGCCACAGCAAGCCCCCGAGGACGAGGACCGGCAAAGCCAUGAACGCACGCUGACCAGAGUUAGGCGUCCAGCCCCCGAGCAUGAGCGCAAGGACUGGUGGAAGCACGUCGAGUUGCCUCCCGCCCUAAGCCGAGGCAGAGAGGUUGGCUGGGCGACGGGCGACACGUGGAGUCAUCUACGGUACCUAGCCGCCGAGCCUGGGAGCAGGACGAGUUGCAAAAGCAUGCCAAGUUGCCUCUUGCCCUGAGCUAGCAAGGUCGACCGGGUGACGGGAGGCACGCCAAGUCAUCUGCGGUGCCCAGCCCCCGAGCCUUGGAGCCGGCCGAGCCACAGAAGCACGCCAAGCCGCCUCCCGCCCCGAGCUAGAGAGGUCAGUCGGGCAAUGGGAGGCACGCCGAGUCGUCUGCGGUGCCCAGGCCCCGAGCCUAGGAGCCGGACGAGCCACAAAAGCAUGCCAAGUCGCUUCCUGUCCUGAGCUAGAGAGCUCGGCCGGGUGACGGGAGGCACACCGAGUAGUUUUUUGAGCUGUAAAAGGACAAUACAAUCAUUAUGUAGCAUAAUGUAGAUUAUUUAAUCAUUGAACAACUCGGAAGUUUAAUACGCUGUAGAAGUAAACUCUUGCUAAUCCUGCUCUUGUAGGCCAAGUAAAUUCCCCAGGUAGUUAGCUUAUUACGUUCAAGCACCUAGCCCUACUAACCACUGCUCAUGGAGAGGAUAGUUUAUCUCAGGCUAUAGCGCUGGGGCUGACCUGAUGCUCGCAUAUAGGAGACGCGCAGGAUGAGUCAAGGUUUCACGGAUUAAGGCGUGUGCUACCCGAGUACUUUAGCAACCGUUAACAGGGACGGAUAAGCCGCAAAGCAACUGGAGCUAUGCAAAAAAGCACCAGCAUGAGCUGGGCACCCAUGGGGUGUAGCCCCCGGCCGCCCGUGUAGUGGGUGGACCAAGCUGUAUAAGUAGGCACGGUGCGACCAAGGUGGUCGGCGAAAGUCACGAGGACAUAGGAGAGCUGAGGUGGUCGACAAAAGUCACAGGAACAUGGAGGAGCCGAGGUUUAUGUAGGUAUACGGAAGUCGUAAAAUAUUUAAUUAUAAAUAAGACUUAUCCUUAUUUGUGGUCAAGUCAAAAAACCCGCGUGUCAUCUUCGCGUUUAGGCUUAGAAGCCCCUGAGCGUGGUCGUCGGAUAGUUGUUGGUGAAGCAAACUAGUUGGGCAUGCCCAACUAAUUCAUGUCGAGGCCGAGUUGUUGGAGUUGUUAGCGGCACGUUUGUGGUAUGCUACUGCCGAGUCGAUGCGGCCAUCGGGUCGUGGCCGGCUGGCCGCCACGCUCACAGUACAACAUGCCUAGGUUGUGCUGCCAAACCAAGGGUGCAUGUAAAUCUUUCCGAAGCUUGUAAGGAAGCCCUCACAUAUUAAGGAACUCUAUACCUAAUACCAUCAUGGUUGUUUUGCAAAAAAGUCUCUCAACUUUUUUGUAAUCAACCCGCAGUCUUUGGAAUGUCUUGAAGAUUGUGCAAAAAGAUCCCCAAACUUUACUGCAAUUGGCCAUCGAAGCUCCCACAGCGUGCACCUAUGCCACAUGCGGUGCGGACGGGUGUGCCGGCUGCGACUGCAAGCUCCUCGCUGCGGCAGGGACCAGGUCGAGCAGCGACAGCAAUGACGAAGGGGAGUAGUCUGCGUCUGCGUGCCAUGCCACCGUCACCGGGCAAGCUGUGGUAGCGGCGGAGUGGGAGAGUGAGUCCAUUGGCGUGUGGAGGGUGCCGUGGGGCAGGUGGGUGGCGGAGAUCUGCAACCCACACCUCGCUGUGUGCAAGUGGCUCAGCACCUUCGACACCACUGAGGACGCCGCGCGUGCCUACAACGUCGCCACCGUCGAGUUCCGAGGCUGCUGUGCCAAGCUCAACUUCCCCGACGAUGCGGCUCUCGCACCUGCACCUUCCUAGGUGCUGACCUCGACAUACCAACACCACCACCACCUGCCGCAGCCGCUGCUCGAGAGCCUGCACGAGACCUGCGGGUCGAACGCAUCCUCAUCAGUGGACGUGGCUCUUGUGGUAGCGGCACCGACUGGGCAGCACGACACGAGGCCGGUGCCGAAGGAGCAGGACAUAUGGGACACGCUAAACGAGUUCAUGAUGAUGGAUGACGGUAGCUUCUGGUCGCCCAUGCCAUGAUCGUCAUAUUCUCCUCUUGUCUUCACUUUCGUUGCUUAGCAGAUAAUGGUGGUCAGCUGCCCUCUAGUCUGUCGUCAAUCGCCAGCCAUCCAUUGCUUUUAUAUGGUUUUACACUAGCUUUUGGGCUUUGAUCACACCUCCACACCCAUACGAAACGACUAGCUAGAGCGAUGUUGAUCUACUGCCUACCGCGCGCUAGGGCGAGCAGCUACUCACUCGGGCUGCAUGCCCUACCCACCACCUGGACCUAAGAGGUGAAGGAGAGAGGAGGAAGGGGGAAGGAAACAAGGAGCCGAGUGCCUCUUUGUAGUCAACCAAGUAGAGCCAUAUGCUAGUGAAGGCAUGGCGCCAGCGAGGGGGGCGCAGCGGCAGUCGGCAGGCAACGCAAACAGGGGCGGAGGUCGAGACCUCACACCCCCCUCUCAAUGACGUCCAUCCCCUUCAGAUCCGGAACUAAAGCCUCCACACCUAGCAAUUGGGGGCUCGAUUUUGCACUUGAUUGGAACGAUUUGGAGUGGAUUAUAGAAGGGAGGUGGAUGGAAAUGAGAAGAAGAGGAAAACGCACUCCUGCUCAUGGUGGCCAGAGGCACUGUGGCCUAGCGCUCAAAGCGGGAAUGAGGCUAGGCACGGGAAGGACGAGCGUUUGCCUGGGCGACGACGAGGAUGGCAAGAUGCGCAGCGCUUAGACGACGGUGAAGAUGGGGCAAGAUGUGGGUGGCACCGAUGGACGAAGAGGCAUCGACUGGUUAGAUGAUAAUGAGUACGGGGAAAAUUGAAUGAAUUUAUAGAGCGGUGGUUGAGCGGUGAUUUUUUUUGUUUCCAUGUGUGGGUCCCACGUAAUAAACAGAUGGCAUCAAACCACCCACAAAUAUCUUCUACUACUGUACUCGGACACCGCACCAACAUAUGGUGAAGUGAAGCUAACAUAUUAGAAACAAGCGAAUAAUAAUGUGAGAGUAAGUAAAGACCUGUAGUAACGUACGGGUAUUUCUGCUAGUAAGAAAAAAAAUUGUUAGUAAGCACCGAGCAACGUAGGAGAUCUACUGGAUGGAAUAGAUUAAAUAAUAAAGGGAAGGGAGAAUUGUUCUCUUUUUUUUCCGUGGCAGAUCUGACGUGUGUGCAUGCAACAAGUUGAGGUCGACGUGUCGUGCUAAAUCAACCAGAUCGUACCGGGGCUGGAUCAGGCGAGCUUGGUUGUGGCCGGGAUGAGGCCAAUAAGGGCGCCGCCCUUGACCUUGGCCUCCUAUUCCUCGCGGAUCUUCUGCAUCUGGAGCAUCCGCUCCAUGAUGAGCUUGUACUGGCACUUCUCGCAGGCGUGGCGCUCGGGCUCGCACUUCCAGCGGAGGUAGAACUGGGAGGUGCACGCACUGGUCAUGGUAGGCGAGUGGAACCCGAGCCUCCGCCAUCUCCACCUGCGUGACGAUCUGGAGCUUCGAGGAGCCGAACUGCACGCCGCCCGCCGCCUCCAUCUGUCACUUUGUUCCCCUCUCUCUCACUGGCGAGGUCGUUCCGUCGAUAUAUGGGCGCUGCGGGUUUGGUGCGGCGUGGGUGGGUAGGGUGCAGCAAGGAUGUGAGGAACCCUCUCGGAUAGAGAGAUUGCUGACCUACUGGGUAAGCGGUGUGAUGAUCCUUGGAUAGAGAACUUGCUCCACCAGAGUAAAUCUGACAGAUGCCGAGCUGGCGGCGGGCACCAAGUCGAAGUCCACUGACAUGCUCCUGAAGCGAAGCUGGAUCGGGUUGGUGAGAAAGUCCUUCAUGCUCUCAGGGAAAGUAAUGCCGGGGCGGGAUGCAAUCAAGCUCGCUAGGGAGGAUCUCACAAUCAUCCCUACCUGGCGCGCCAACUAUUGGAUUUAUAAGCCCGAUAGUCCACCAGGGGGUUACCCAAGUUGUUGAUUUGUAGGUGAGGGCGAUUGCGAAACCAAGAACUCUAAGGUGAUCGUGAAAACACGAAGGGACACGAAGGUUUUAGAUAGGUUGGAACCUCCGAAGAGUAAUACCCUACGUCCUGUAUGCUGGUUUGUAUUGCUUGAGAUUGAUAUGAUUGUUGGGAUACCCUUGGGGGUGCCCUUGGCCGCUUUAUAUAGGCUGACGAUCAAGAGUUACAAGUCAGUUUGAAUCUAAUCUACUCGAUAGUUACAUGGAAAGUAAUCUGAGUAGGACUAUAAUACGCGUUCCAUGAUAUUCGGCAUGUUUGAAUUGUCUUGUUGCUUUGACGUGCACUCCAAGUAACUUCAUGUCCUCAGCCCGUACGCCUUGGUCGAGUGGGCCCUACUUGUCAGGUAUGACCAGUAUCCUGAGGUACCCAUAUCUCUCACCUUGGUGCUCCGGCGAUUAGGGUCGGCAACGAGGAUGGGGAUUGGAAGAGGAGAUCGAGGGGACUUUAUGGAGAUGCUUACCGGCGGCGAGGUGGACGGAUUCCGGCUAGAAUUUGGCUGGCGGUGGAAGAACACGGCAACUGGCUCAGGUCUUCGCGAGUGAUGGUACUCCGGCGGUGGAGCGGCGACGAAGAAUGGUGGCAGAGCUGCUCCUCGAUGUCACGGAGCUCCCUAAGGCUCUAGCUUUCUUCGAUAGUCGACGGGCAUAGUGAAUCGGCCAGAGAAGGCUAGCAGCAGCUCCUAGCUCCGGCGGAUGUGGGGGAUGGCGGCGCUCGUGCAAGUAGGGAAGAGCGGCGGUGUGAGGCAGGGCAGUAGCAGGGGCACUGUCUCGACUUUUAUAGGUGUGUGGGUCCGCGCCUGCCUUGGCACGCACGCCGAGGUUCGGCGGUGGCGACGCCCAAGUGCAGCUACGCUUGGCCUUGACCCGCUAGUGGCCGAUGGGCCUAGCGAGCCUAGCCGAGCCAUCAGCUGGGCCGAGUCGGUGCAGGUUGGCUGGAGAGGGUCGGGCUACAAAGACUUGGCCCGAUCGAUUAGGAUUUUGCUUUUUUAGAAAUGAUUUCUCAUGAAAGAAAAAUCUAGAAAAAUUCUAGAUAAUUAAUUUAAAUAACGAAAAAAACCCUAAAAAUCCAAAAUUCCAGGAAAAAUCCUAGAGAUAGUUUGGGACAUGAGGAGUCCAAAUAAAAUACUUGGAGCUCAUGAAAAGGAUUCUAGAACCUUCCAAAAAUUGGAUUUAGCUAUAGAAAAAAUGAGAAUAAAUCUCAAAAAAUCUGGAAAUUCUCAUAAGAACCUAAUCGGCAUCUAAACGCAUUCCAAAAUAUUUGCACUUAUGAAAUACCAAGAUGCAUCGGUAUGAAUGCAACACAUACGGAGAACCAUUAUAUUUAAUUCAGAAAAACACUCAAUUAUUUCCCUAUACUAAAUUUCCUGUCAAGAAAAUAAAUGUUGGAAAAAUUUUAAAAUUAUGAGAAAAACAUUGUUUAAUUAUUAUUUUUAAUCUGAAAGUUCAAAAAUUUUAAGGUGUGGCAGAUACCCUCAGGUUUACAGAAUUUGACAUCCAUGUGCAAAUUGGAUGUAUCCUUCAAUGAUCUGCAAGGUGAAGUGCCAAUAGGGCUUUUUUUUUGCAAAUGCAUCUUACAUGUCGGUUUAUGGAAAUGAUCAGCUUUGUGGUGGAAUACGUCAACUUCAUUUAGCUCCAUUCUCCAUGUCCAGUGCAAAAAAGAAAAAAAAGGAAAUUUGUCGAAAACCCUUGUGAUCACCCUAACAUCAAUCAGUGCAGUUGUAUUCUCAGUUUCAGUACUUGCUGUAAUUGUGUUGAUCUGUAAGAAGCUUAGGAAAAGGCAUGAAAGUCAACUCAUAUCCACAACUGAGGAACGGUAUGAAAGAGUUUCUUAUCAUGCUUUGUCAAAUGGGACCAAUGGAUUUUCAGAGGACAAUUUACUUGGACAAGGAAGCUAUGGCAUGGUUUAUAAAUGUACUUUACAUGACCAGGGUACUACUGUAGCUGUAAAGGUGUUUAACAUAGAACAAUCUGGGACUUUUAGAAGUUUUGUCGCUGAAUGCGAGGCACUCAGAAGGGUGCAUCACCGUUGUCUCGUAAAGAUCAUCACUUGUUGCUCAAGCAUCAAUCACCGGGGUCAAGAGUUCAAGGCACUAGUUUUUGAGCUCAUGCCAAAAGGUAGCCUAAAUGGUUGGCUUCACGCAGAGUCUGACACACUUACCCCGACAGAUACUCUGAGCCUUGAACAAAGGCUACACAUUGCUGUCGAUAUCAUGGAUGCUUUGGACUAUCUUGAUAAUCACUGUCAGCCAUCAAUCAUUCAUUGCGAUCUCAAGCCAAGCAACAUCUUUCUUGCGGAAGACAUGAGUGAGUGCCCGAGUUGGAGGUUUUGGCAUAUCAAGAAUCCUUCCAGAAAGUGCUAGUAAAACCCAGCAAAAUUCGAAUAGCACAACUGGAAUAAGAGGCACCAUUGGUUAUGUUGCACCAGGUAAUGAAAGAGAUGGUUUUGGUAUUUGAAAAAUGUUCUUAGUUCUUAUGUAUACAUGAGCUGCUGACCUUUGGCUUUUUUUUUUCCAAUAAGAGUAUGGUGAAGGUUCUUCUGUCUCAACUCAAGGUGACGUUUAUAGCCUCGGCAUAUUGCUGCUUGAGAUGUUUACUGGAAGGAGCCCAACGGAUGAGAUAUUCAAUGAUUCUUUGGAUUUGCACAAGUUUUCAGAGAAUGCUCUUCCAGAGAGAAUAUGGGAUAUAGUUGAUCCGACAAUAUGGAUGCACACAGAUGCCUAUAACAGCACUAUAAGAAGUGGAAUUAAGAAUUGCUUGGUUUCUGUUGUUUCUCUUGGAAUAUCAUGCUCGAAGAAACAACCUAGGGAGCGGAUCCCGAUUCAGGAUGCAGCCAUUGAGAUGCACGCUAUUAGAGAUUCGUAUCUCAAGUUUGCCAGAUCUCUUUUGGUGGAGCAUGGAGUAGUAGCAACAACUCACAGUGAUUUCCCACAACAGUGAAUACAUAGGACUGAAAAUGGGCAAGAUGUCUGCAGGUGAUCAGUUUACCUGAAAUAACUGAAGAUGUAUGAAGCUUCAGCUUUAUAAUUCGUCCUUGCAUUUGUUUGCAUCAGAUAUAUGGAAGUAUAAAAUAAGUUUAGAAAAUGUUUCAAAAUAGAUUAGAUCAAGAGGUUUUACUUGUCGUCUGUAUGACACAUUUUUUGUAGAGAAUUCAGUAAUAUGUAUGAUUCAUAAUACAAUCAAUGCUCUGCAAAUUUCAGAUAGCACAAUUGGAAUAAAAAGCUCAUUCAUUGAUUAUGUUGCUCUAGGUGACUCAACUUAUUGUGAUGUUCACUGUAGAUUUCUCCAUGGUCCAAACGACCAUUGUGAUCAGUUAUGUUUAUGCAUUUUGUAGACUUGUUAAGUCUUUCCCUAACUUGCUGACAUAUCAGCCGGAGCAGAGCACUCUGCCAUUCUGCGCCACUCGCCUCUAGGCGGCGCUUGCCGCUUGGUGGCUGCGGUGGCGACCGGCGGCAUCCGUACCUGCUCUGUCGGAGGCUGAGGGGCACAAUUACGUCUUGGAGUCGCCACCGCGCGACCUUCGGAGCUCGCCCAUGCCUCGUCGGUACGAGCUCAGUCGCGCGGUGAAUGGCAUGCGCAUCUGGGGUCCCGUCAGCUGCAGGUGCAGAUGGGUAGAGAGCUUAGCUGCGCUAGGUCUUCAGAAGAUGUUGAGUGGGCUGGAUGGGGCUUUGCGGCUCUGAAUGGCGACGCGGGCAGGACGACGACGCUGGACGCGUGGGGAGGAGACGACCUGAACCAGGGGCAUUUCGGAUAAUAGUCGGAUCGCGAUCAAUAAUCGCAAUCCAAAUUAGGGGGCUAUUUACAAAUAAUAGGGGGUAUUCCGUAAAUAUUCGGUUCGCGAUCAUUAAUCGCGAUCCAAAUGAGGGGUUAAUUGAAAAUAUGAUGGGGGUGUCUUUUGAAAUUCCGGAUUGCGAUCCCAUCCUCCGCCGCGGCUCGCCGGAGCGCCGCCAGACGCCGGCCGUCCCUUGGGGUACCUCUUCUUCGUUCCGUCUGUCGGAGCCCUAAGACGCGGUCGGUGUUUUAUCUGACAAGGAACCCUGAAGUCCGAACUAACUGAAGAAAGACAUGAUGCUGACCUGGAAGAAGAAGACGGCCUCGCCAUGGCCGGAUGCGGCGCGGUGGAAGGACAGUGUGUUGGCGGAGCGGAUGUUGUCCGACGUGAACUCGCCAGCGGCGUGGUCCACCACAUUCCGUCGACGGGCGGUGCACUUGCUGUCGCCUGUCGGCUACUUCCAGGCAGUAGCUGAGCUUCAGAGUUCAGACAGGGUGCUUGUGCUUGCAACAAGUUCAGAACGAUGUCAUUGCUUUGAUGCAGAGGAUGGAGCAAACCGGUUGCAAAUUGGAUUCUGAUACAUAUAACUUAAUAUUGAACCUUUAUGUCGAUUGGAAAUAUGAGAAGGGGUGCCCCAAAUAUGGGAUGAGAUGGAGAGGAGUGGAUCAGGCCCAGAUCAACGAUCAUUUACUAUUAUGGUUCAUGGUCUUCAUUCCCAAGGAAAGCUUGAUGAGGCUCAACAAUGAAGUCAAGAGGGUUGAUCCCUGAACCAAGGACCAAGAUACUGGUGAAAGCUAUACAUAUGAAGAAAGAUGGGGCUGUCACAGAAGAUCAGUCUGUAAAUAUGACAGGGAAGAAUCUAAAACUGGAUCCACGAUCUAGACUAUUCCAUGUUCAUAAAUAGUUUGCUGUCAGAUCUUACUUCUAUAACCUGAACAGAGGAUUGCUGGGCACGUAUUAUGUGUCAAAAGAAUCUCUUCUACCAGUGUCCUGAUCACAAUGGCCACACCUUGGGCUACAAUAAAUCAUCAGCAAAGUGUGUUGGCAUUAUGUAUCCCAGAAAGUUUUGCUCAGACUUUCAAUGCCAGGGUAUGUUUUUUAUGUCUGAUAUGGAUCAAUUAUAUUGCAAGUACUGUAUUACACCCUCGUAUUAUGAAGGUUAUGUGAAAUAUGACAGAUGUUUGUUUAUUCAUUUGUUAUGCAUGGCUGUGUCUACUAUCUAGUUGUUGGCUUGUUGCCAACAUAUGCAGCAGCAGGUAGCUUCAGCCGCUCAGAAGCCCAAAUGAAGAAUGGUCCAGGCAGAAUAGCUAGUCUAGACCCAGAAAGCUUAGGACAUGUCUUGCCAGCCUGCAGUUUUGUACUCGUAGCACCAACCAUCUCCGGGUUCUGGCCGGUUAUAUACAUGGUCUGGAAUGGGCAUCCGCUGAUCGAUUGAAACCUUGAACUGCUUCCGUGUUUGUCUUUUACCAUCUAUAUAGUAUGGUUAGUCAACGGCAUGCAAUACACCCAUGCAUAUGAUUGCAGUAGGAUGACAUGGCGUGACCAGAACCCUUCUUUUGCCAGUUUUUUAUUCUUAUACACGGCCAACAACAGGGAGUUGCCGAUUGCAAUACACCCAUGCUACUAACGCAGCAGGGAGUUGCAUGCUAAGCAGUUCAGCGUAGGUGGUGAGUUCUCAACUCUGAUAUGGUUUAUGGAAGAACACUGUCACGGUGUCACCUAGCCGGUUGGAGGCCAACCUCUUACUAGGGACAGCAAUGGCCCUGUCCACUGUUUCGUGGCUGGUAUUAUUACCCCUAUGCAGUGAAUAUGACAUGUGGAUCUAUGUGUAUAUUAUGUCGCCAGAAGAACAUUAUAUGAACCGUUGAGCCACCUUUGAUUCUAUUAAUGUGUCAUGGUCAAUUGAUGUCAAACUCUAUUAUCUUCAAGUCUUAUUGUAUUGAUAAAAUCACGAUGCUGCUACUGCCAUUUUGAUGUUUAUAAAAGGGUAUUGAGAACCUGGUGGGUAUCCAUUCGAUGCGCAGGGGUGAGGGUGGGGAAAAAUGAGUGUAAAGGACAGGGAUACAGUAUUUAGAAAGAUGGGGCUGCCACAGAAGAUAGUCUCCAAGUACGGCAGGGAAGAAUCUAAAAACUGAUUCCUUGAUCAAGACUGUCCCGUAUUCAUAAAUAGUUCACUGACAGAUCUUGCUUCCAUAUUCUGAACAGCUGAUGCUGGGUACAUAGGAGGUUAACCGGUCAGCGGAUCGAAGGAAAAAAAAAUCUUGCCUGUCAGUGUCCACAAUGGCCUCAUCUUGGGUUAGAGACAAUCAUCCCUAAAGAAUCAUAUUGCCGGAUAAGGUUAUCAGUGAUUGGUAGGUGCAGAUCCAUGCUCAUCCUAGAAACAAGCCAGGGCUGAAUGCGCCACUCAUUUUAGGUGCUUGGAUGUUGUGACCGAAAUGAUCGUGUGUUUAAUGGAGUUUCCCAUAGUGACUAGCGUACAGGCUGUCCUCGUAUUCGAGAAAAAAAAUAAUGGGCGAAAUGUUUUCACCCAGGUAAUUGUUGCAUUGUAUGAAUAGGCUUAGUGGUUGGUGGGUGCAGAGUAUGAAUGUGCUUGUACUGUGACACAAGAAGAUUUAUCAUAUCUAUGUAUGAAUUAGUAUUAAAUCUGCUACAUAAAUAUCUUCUCUUAUCUCAUUGUAUGUGUAUAUAUGACACAGAAGCACAUGUAUAUCAGCAUUGUAGAGAGAGAUGAGAGAGAAGCUUAUCUGCUUUUUGGAGAUAAAUAUUCAAAUUGUGGUGUAUGAGAAGGAUAGAAUUAUUCUAUCAAAUUGUUUAUUCAACAUCUAAAAAGAUUCCAUGUUUAGUCAUCUAUAUCGGCAUUGUAGAGAGAGACUAGUGUUCAACUGGUUGGAAGGAUGAGAGAGAGAGGAGAGAGAGAGGAUGAAUAGUGUUCAGCUGGUUGGAAGGAUGAGAGAGAGAGAGGAGAGUUUCGAUGAUAGAGAGAUUAGUGUUCACCUGGUUGGAAGGAUGAGAGGGAGAUGAGAGAGUUCGGAUGAGGAGGUGGAGAGUUCGGAAGAGAGAGAGGUGAGAGUUCGGAUGAGAGAGAAACAGCUUAGAAGGAUGAGAGAGAGAAAGUGAUAUUUAGCUGGAUGGUGGAGACUUCAUAUAUUACUAACUAGCAAGGUGUCCGUGCGUUGCUACGGUGAAACGACGUUGCUUAGCACGCGAUGUUUUUUAUCGUGUCGUGUAGCGCACCAUAUUUUUUAUCGUGUUGUGUAACUUUUUUAUUUUAGUAGUAUUAGACUUUUCAUAUAUAAAGGGUCACGUGAGUGUGUCCAUAUCCCAACCGUGCGGAAACCGCUUGCCAUCGAACUUGUUAUCUCUUUCUCUAUCUUGAGAUUGGUAUGCUUCUACAGCAAUUCUGCACAAAGAAGGCCCCACUUCGCCCCGUUCCCGCCGUCCGGUUAGUCCCACGCCUACCCUCUCCCUCUCUGAUCCUCGCUGUCGGCUCCUCGAGGUCCAGGUCGGGCUUGUGAUGUAGCGGCCUGUUAUCCUUCCACCAUUGGAAGCGGGUAGUGAUCGCUGCUCUGUGAACCCUGCCUCACGCCGUUCCUACCACUCCAGGUCCAGUGAAGCCUGAGCUUUCGCUUGGACAAACAGCCACUACCAACUUGGAACGGGCAGGGCCAGCAAGGGCAUACAAUGGACCCAAGCCCUCCGCACCCAAACAUCCACACCACUUUAAUGCCUCCACUUGGGUUACAAGCCCGCGCAACCAAGCUCGGUGAGGAUGACUCGUGAGGAUGAACAUUUAAGUUGGUGUGGCGCUGCUUCAGAUGGCGAGGUGGUACUAAUCUAAGGAAUAGGAAAAUUUCACAUGGGUCCCACACCGCACCCAGCCCUAUCCUUAUCCUUUCUCAUCUCUCUAUCGUCCGUCCGGUCCUUAUCCUCUUCAUCUCAUCUCUCUCUCUCUCCCUAUCUCUCUCUCAAACUCUCUAUCUCGCCUACCCCCUCUUUCUCUGGAGAAGGCGGUGCACGGCUGGCCCCAGUGAUGGCCUGGGGGCGCGGGGUGCCAAUAGCGGCCGAGGGUUGUAGGGCUGCGGCGAGGAGCCUCCCAGCCGUGGAUGCGACGGCCUAGCCAUGGGCACCGGGCAGGCGGCUCUGGCACGACCGGCUGGGGCGGGCAGGGAGAGGCGAACAGCAGUGCUACGACGUCACGAAGAGGCGGACGUCGGGCAUGGGCGGGUGAAAGGGGAGACGGGGAAAGAAAGCUAGACCCACCUAUCAAUGCGUUAAUCUUACCUAUUAUUAAACAUCAGGGCCACCUCUCGUUGAUAGAAGUUGGACCAAACAAGAAAAAGUGGGCAGAAGUGUUCCUCACUUUAAUAAUAAUAAUAAUAAAGUAUAGAUAAUGCAUCCAAACAACAUUCGAAAUUUAAUUUUAAAAAAAACUUUCUCGGUACAUCCAAACAAGAAAAUUCAAUUGAAUUAAAUUCUACUAAAUCCAUUUCUUAUGGAAUCUAAUAGCUAGAAUAUGAUUCAUGGGAUGAGUUUCAACUCUAGGGAUCUAAACAUGCCCUUAGUUAUUUCUUAUGUAGCUCAAAUCAGAUGCAAGGUAUGUCCUAACUAAAAAACGUAAGUUACUUUGUGUUAUCUCGUGAAUCAGUGAUUAAUUACUUCCGAUCACUAGUAGAGAAUUGGCUUUCGAUGCGCCCCCUUUUGUCCCGGUUUAAAGUUGGCCCGGGACAAAAGGUUCACCAACCGAGACUAAAGCUCGGUCACUGGUGGGGGGCUCACCAACCAGGACCUUUUAUCCCGGUUGGAAAGGCUAGUGGGAAAAAAAGAUCAUGAGAGGCUUUUUAUCCCGGUUUGAAACACCAACCGGGAUAAAAGACCCAUCUAACUAUAUAGGGGAUGUUACCAACCAGGAUAAAAAGGGUCGAGAGCCUUUUAUCCCGGUUUGUAAUACCAACUGGGAUAAAAGGGGGUCAUUUAUCCCGGUUGGUGUUUCAAACCGGGAUAAAAGGGUCCCAACGAGGUGACUGAAACAUGACUAAAUCCUGAACCCUUUUAUCCCGGUUUGUAAUACCAACCGGGAUAAAAGGGGGUCUUUUAUCCCGGUUGGUGUUUCCAACCGGGAUAAAAGGGUCCCCCACAAGUUAAUACAAAACGAUAACAUCCCCUAUAUAGUUAGAUGUGGUGUGUAGGUGGGAUGGCAAGGAAGCUACGCGCGAGGCUGGAGGUUGUGGGUUCGAAUCCCAUGCAGCGCGCACGCGCAUAUUUCGCGUGGAAAAUCGCGUGACUUGCGACGCGCGUGUGGGGGGCCUCCUGGGAGCUCGGAAUUUCUUUUUUUUGUUUUAUCCCGGAUGGAUUUUCGGAAGAUUUGCACCCUACCAAUCGGGACUAAAGGUCAAUUCUCUACUAGUGAAUCUUAUGUAAAAAGAACUACGAGUUAAAUUCUUUGUCAGAUUUAUACUGACAAGUUACAAGCACAUGCCUCUGCAGUAACAGGCCAGCCCUAGACUAGCGGGCAAACAAAAACAACAUGAUUCGUCAACUGAUCGAAUGUUAAUGACUAUUUUGCUAGGAGAAUGAACAUGAUUCAUAAAAAAAGGGGAGCUACUAACUUGGUCAAGGUCUCCGUCCUCUAGCGUGGCGAAGGGGCCAUCUUGCUCCACUCCACGUCUGCGUGGUUGCUAGGUGGGCGCGACGGCGGCUGCGGAGUGCGGACGGGCGCGUAGAUGUGUCAUUGUUGAUCAGGACAUGCGCUUCUAUCACCGUCUGUGGUUGGCGUCCGCGGCCGAGCGGGUCAAGGUCUCCGUCCUCUAGCGUGGGGAAACAGGAUCUCUUCAAUCAGUGCUUCUACAGAAACGGUGCACGGUCACCACGGACCAACGACAUACCAUGAGAAAAGCGGAGCUAAAUGUUGCAGUAGCAGAGUAACCGGAGACUGGAGAGCACUUGCUGCUAAAAGCUGCCUCUUAUUUUGUAUCGUCUUUAACAGAAGACUUUAAGUCAACCGCCAUUCGAUUCCAAUAUAAACUAGCAAGUUGGCCCGCGAUGAUAGCACGGCUAGAUUUGAUACAAUAUAACUUUUUUAAAUGCUAUGUUAGCUUAGUAUAUUUCUUCGUCCCUCUUGAUUUGUUUUUCAUCCUCUUGAAAUCACUUAGUAUACUUAGGUGCCUUACUCUACACAUUGAGUAUCAAGCCAUAUGUGUAUAUUUGUUUUUUUUUGCAAAUGAACUCCGAUGCCACAUGUGCAUAUGCACGCCUAAUUAAAAUUGCUCACUUGUAACAAAAUAACAAGAGUAGUUGAUUCUGAUCUUAUGUUGCAGUUUUUGCCAACUUUUCCUAGUAUUAUUGUGUUGAGUAGAAAGCCUGUGUAGAAAAAGAUACAAAACAAACAAUCGUGUUAACUACUCCCCAUACUUGCUCAAAUGAUUUUGAAAAAUAAAAACAACCGCGCUCUAAGUCCUAGGUGGUGAUAUUCCUCCUUACUUUCCUCCUCUCGUUUUCCUUGCACAAUCGAGGAUGACAAAUACCACAAACCACUUAGGCUCGAUCAUGUUUCAUCAUCACAUUCCUCAAAUCUUGAUCACGUUGUUGUCUUCAUUAUGCUAGCAGUACACAUCUCUCCGCCUCUUCUCACUGGUAGAGAAUUGGCCUUUAGUCCCGGUUGAUAGGGUGCAUAUCUCUCGGAUAUCCAUCCGGGAUAAACCAACCGGGACAAAAGGGAGGGUCUUUAGUCCCGGGUCUUUUAACCGGGAGUAAAGGUCCUCCUUUAUUUCCCAACCGAGACUAAAGGGUUACCCUUUAGUCCCGGCUGGAUUCCAACCAGGAGUCCCGGCUGGAUUCCAACCGGGACUAAAUGGCGCCUGCAUGGCACUGCCGUGGCGCCUGAAUUUUUCAUGCAUGCAUCACGUACGUAGUACCGCGACCCUUUUAAUUUGUUAAACUUUAGUAGUUGAGAUUUUUUUAGAACGAAAUCAACUAGUAUUUAAACGAAUGGGAUUUGUAAUUAUACAAUUACUAUAUAUGUACACAAUCCUUAUACACAAUUCAUAUACACAAUUCAACUAGCUUAGUACAAAUUGAUCAUAAUUAGCGCGUAUUAUAUAUACAAAUAAAUCAAAGUAUCUGUCUACAAUCUUCCCGUCGUGGUGUUGCUGAUCGGAGUGUCUAAUUGUCGUCCAUCGUAAUAAAAUUCUCCUUUUGGAUUUACCACCUUGUCCAUUAUGAAUCCAAUGAGACUUUCACAUAUUGCCGCUACUCUUUCUUCCUUCAAGAGUCCUUGUUGAAUAUUUAACAUCUAUAAUUUGGAAAUUUUUGAAUGUUACACGAACAAAUACAUAUAAGGAGCUAGAAAAUAAUUAACUAGUAAUAGUUUUAUUUUACGUACUUUAAAGUUGUGCGGCGUCAUCUUCGGUCCCUUGGGUCCCAUAAAACUGUGCAUGUGCUCACAGAUGUAGUAGCCACAUAGAUUAUUUCCGGGUUCCUGUCUUAAGCACUUCAGUGCGGAAAAAAAUAAGUUAUGAAAUAUUCGUAUUAUACAAUGUAAUAAAUGUGCAGACUUCAUACGUACCGGGAAGUCUGUGUUCCAUGUAAGUUUUUCUUUGAAUGGACCUUUGUGUGUCCUUAUGAAUUGUUUCCAUGCGCUGCAGAUUAGAAUAAUGAAUGAUAUAGUGUAACAGGAAUAAAAUUUAGGAAAUAAACUUUUGCAUAUAGAUAAAGGUACAGAAUUAUUACAAGCCUAGCAUGUCUUGCACUUCUUGGUAGUCCACCGGAUCUUUCCUUAACGAAUCGAAGACAGUGACGUGGCUUCUUUCAGGCUCAAUUAUAAUAAGAAUCCAGUGGAAGCUGCGUGCGUAAAAUGUUCAUGCAUAUUAGAGCUAACUAACAUGUAGAGAUAAGGAAAAAGACAUCGAAAGUAGACGGUAUACACACACUUACUUGAAGUUGUAUGGAAGUAGUAUGAAAUCCUUGAAUGUUUGUUUGUCUAGGAAAUUGUAUAUUUCCGCAAAGGUUUUUUCCGGUGCUAAUUGUGUCUGUUGUUGGUUAACUACAGAUGGAUCCAUGAAGCCUACAUGUAGGUACGCCUCUCGGCGGCAUGUCUGAAUUAGCAUCCUACAUGAAAUGGAAGAUGAAGUUAGUACGGUGACGCAUGCCAAAAUUUACAUGUAGAGAUAAACGGACACUUACAGAACCUAAGCGCUGAUCAGAGAGACGUCCAGGGCAUCAUGAUGGUACACUUCGUAUAUAUCCUUGAAGUCUAGCCACAGCACUUUCUCCCCUUCACCGUGAAAAUCUAUCGGUUUUACCUUCAUGCCGAUCAUCUCCCUCGAGUCGGCGGAUGCCAUCAUGUACCAUUGAUGGAAUGCGUACAUCUUUGUUGAUAGCUUCCGUACCAAUGAAGGCUUUACUAGAGGUUUGCCUAGCUCAUAAGGCCAUCUCAGCUCAGGGGGCGGUGCAGUUGGCGUCUCAACUUGCCCUAUGCAUUCAUCAAGUCCCAGACCUGUUUCUUCCAUGAACUUCAAUACAUUUGCUUGUUGAUCCAAGGGCAUUGCUUUUACCCGUUGAGCAUCUUUUUUUGAUAAAUGGCUGAGGUCGGGGACUGGACCGCUGGAAGAUGACUUUCCUUUCCUUUUAUCCUUUUCAUCAGCCUUUACUAGAGCCCGUUCAUAGUUUGACAAGAGUGGUAUCCUUUUCUUGGCUCCUUCUUCUAUCCUGAUAAAAAAGUUUAAAUCUCGCCGACUUACUGGCGGUGGCUCCAUCUCCCUUACUUUUUUUUCUUCGGCUUGUUUCUUGAACCACUCACUGGCCUCUCGUUGGAUUUCUGCCCACUGUUCCGCAUGAGACAUUGCCUCCCAGCGUUCCUUACGAGUCACUUCAGGCUCCUUUGUUUUCUUCUUUCUCUGUCUUUGCUUGGGAGGCGGUGCUCGUGACUUCUUUAGUGGUGGUGCAGGUUCCUUCAAGGGGGCCGCUCUUGGUGCCGGCGACGGUGAUCGGGGAGGGGUGUUGUUAUUGUCGUCGUCGCUCCCAGCACCAGGAUGUAGUGGAGAUGGAGACCUUGAUAUAGAUGGAAGGGACGGUCCUGGAGCAGGAGAUGACGGUCUCGAGGUAUGAGGAGAAGGUCGCUGCUGGGGAUCUACGGGGAGCGGUCUUAAGGUCUGAGGAGAUGGCUCCGUGCUGGGAAUAAUGAUGUAGCGUUUUUGCCAUAGAAUAAUCCCAUGAAGCGCAUCUGCCAAUGUCUUUUCCCCGUCGCCUCCCGGGAAGUCGAGCUCUAGACCUUCAUACUAGGGAUCAACUAUUUGCUCUACGCAGACGCUGGCGUAGCCUGUUGGAAUUUCCAUGCCAUGACUGCUCUGCCCCGCCAGGGUUGCUAACGCACUCCCGUACGCUACCUGUACAUAUAGCAGAAGUAAACAAGUUGAACUCCGAUCUCGAGGCCUGGAUCAAUUGACAAGAUUGCAUAAAUAUUAUGUAUAAGUAUACCUUAAUAGUGAGGUUGCCGACCGGUGCAUGCAGCUCACAUGAGGUCCGUUGUGUGAUGGCAUCCACGGGGAACCGUUGCUCCUCCACGGGUAACCUGGGCGUCUGCGCAUCGGGGACCCCUGUAGAAGCACAACUGCUCAAGAGGCGUUGAGAAGGGCUGGCGGUGUUAGGAAUCGGCAAUGCUCCAGAUUGGGCCAACUCCGCAACUGCGUGGGCCACCCGCCGAUUGGUUUCAUCCAUCAUUCUUUGUUCUUGUGCCUGCACUUUAGAUUCUAGCAUCUGCCGCCAGCUCUCCUCGAUCUGUUCCUUUCUUCGCUUCCGGCUUCUGUACGAGGUGCUGUCGCCUCGGAAAGCAAACUUCCACGGAACCACCCCGAACCCUCGGCAACGUCCUGGGUGUUCUGGAUUACCGAGGGCCAAUGUGAGCUCAUCAUUUUCUCGGUCCACCUUCAACCUCCCAGCCUUAGAAUCUUCAAUGUUCUUCAUGAGAUGUUCGGCCUUCUCACGUAUUGUGUCAUUAAAAAUCAACGUCCCAUCCUCUUGGCUUAGGGAGCCUCCAUGAGCGUAGUACCAAUUUUUUGAUCGUUCGGGCCAUUCAAUAGUUGCAGGUACGAUUCCCCGUUCGAUCAGAUCUUGUUCCAUCUUCCUCCACUUGGGAAUUGCUGAGCCAUACCCACCUCGCCCCAAAUGAUGGUGGUAGCCCUUCUGACUAGCAUUUGCUGUGUUGGUCGUGAUCUUUUUCACACCGUCUUCACUCCUCUUAUAUUCAACAAAUGCAUCCCAGUGGUCCCUCAACUUUGGCCACGCGUUGAAGUCUAGAGUUCGGCCCUUCUUGAUGUAGUGGGUAUCCAGCAUCUUCUUGAAUGUCUGGAAUUGAGUAGCCAUCUUCUUAAGCGUCCACGCUUUGACAUCCUUCUCACUAUAUCCUUCGGGGAAUGUGAAAUGUCUCUUCACGUCUUCCCACAGCAUAUUCUUUUCUGUCUCCGGAAGGGCGUACGGAUUAGUGCUUCUGCCCUUCCAUUCUCUGAUGCUGAUAGGCACGUUGUCCCGGACGAUUGCCCCGAUCUGACUCACGUACUUCUUUGCUACUUUCUCGGGAGCAACCGGCCUGCCCUCUUCUGUCACUUCCGUGAUGACAAGCCUCCCUUCCAUCACCUUUGUACAACCUUGGGUCUUCUGCCCUUGUGUCGAUCCGGAGGGCUAACAUUUUAAGAUUCGUUAAUUAGUACGUAGUAGUAACAGUGGCGUGAAACAAUACAAGAAUGGUUAUAUAUACCUCGCCGGAACCUUCCGCCACGGCAAGUUGUUGCUGCGGCUAAUGCUCUUCAUUCCCAUCGGUGGACAUGUUGAGGAACAUGUCCGCCUGGGUGCCCUCUUCAUCCGUGUAUGAUAGUGGAACGUUCUCGCCACUACCAUCACCAGCGAUUAUCUGCUCCAUGAUAUACCUUGCGGUCUCAUUGUCUGCCAUUUCAACUAUUGAUGGAAACAUACAUGGAAUCAUACAUGACAGUCAUAGAAAUCGUCUUACUACAAAUUUCUACAAAGUCCUACAAAGUCCGGAAUCAUACAUGUAUAUAAUGAAAUCAUAAAAUAACAUGAAUCCUACAAAGUCCGGAAUAUUUCUACGAAUUUCUACGAAUUUCUACGAAUUUCUACGUUCUAUGAAUUUCUACGAAUUUCUACGAAUAUCCACAUGCGGUGCCUAGGUUGUGACGGCGGCGAUCAGGGCGGCGGAGGCGGGGACGGUUCCCUGGAACCACGGGCGGUGCCUAGGUUGUGACGGCGGCGGUCAGGGCGGCGGUACGGCGGAGGCGGGGACGGUUCCCCGGAACCACGGGCGGUGCCUACUAGGUUGUGACGGCGGCGAUCACGGCGGCGGGACGGCGGAGGGGACACAUAUACAAAAAUAUAACUUAAAAAAAAUCUAACUUAAAAAAAAAUCUAACUUAAAAAUCUAACUUAAAAAUCUAACUUAACAAUCUAACUAAAAAAUCUAACUUAAAAAUAUAACUUAAUUUUCUAACUUAACAAUCAAAAUUAAAAAUCUAUCAUAAAAAUAUAACUUAAUUUUCUAACUUAAAAAAAAAGCCCUCCCAAUGCUGCCGGCCGGCGCGGCGGCGGACCUCUCGCGCGCGGUCGUCGACGGUGGCCGGGGCGACGAGGGGGCCGGGCGGCGGGACGGCGGCGGCCGGUGCGGCGAGGACGGCGGCCGAGGCGACGACGACGGCGGCGGCGUAGGCGGGACGGCGGCGGCGUAGGCGGGACGGCGACGAGGGGCGACGAGGCGGUGACGAGGAUGGAGGCGGUGACGAGGAUGGAGCCGGCGACGAGGAUGGAGCCGGUGGCCGGAGGCGACGAGGUGGGGGCCGGGCGCGUCGACGGACGAGGAGGAUCGAGGCGGGCCGGCCGGGGGGAUGGAGGACGACGAUGUCUGGGCGCGAUCGGCGGCAGGACGACGACAAACGGCGCAAUGGGGGAUGACGACGGCGGCGGCCGGCGAGGGAGGCGGACGGGCGGCGACGGCGGAGCAGAACGCGUGGAACUUGGCGAAAAUUUUGCUAAGUGUAACUGGCGGGGGGUAGAAGGGAGUACAGUGCCUUUUAAACCCCCCCCUUAUCCCGGUUCGUAAUGGUACCCGGGACAAAAGGGUGCCCCCGCCAGGUGGGGCUGGGAGCGUACCCUUUUAUCCCGGGUGCCACCACCAACCGGGAUAAAAGGGGGGGGGCCUUUUAUCCCGGUUGCAGUUGGCAACCGGGAUAAAAGGGUACGUCCGGGCGGGAGACGAAAAGUACCCUUUUAUCCCGGUUGCCGUUUGCAACCGGGAUAAGCAACCGGGAUAAAAGGGGGCCUUUUGUCCCGGUUGCUGUUAGCACCCGAGACAAAAGGUCUUUUUUCCUAGUUUUCUUCUCCCGCCUGUUUUUUGAAAUGGAUUUUAUUUUAUCUUUUCACUACAUUUCAGGAUGAAAAACAAAACCUUCACAGAUUUUGUACAUGCAAAAAUAUAUUUAAUUAACAAGUAAAUUGACAAUAAGUAUGAAUUAAUCAUUAAUUCUAUACCAGUUCAUUUAGCCUCUAAAAUAUUUAUUUUACUGCGUUGCUGUGAUUAAGAAAUUAUUCAAUUAAAUAAUUUCAAUGCGUAGAAAAAUCCAUGUUUGUAUGUGGUUAACAUUGUUCAUGUUUAUCUAAAAAAUCUUCACCUAACAAAUUUAAGAACACAUGAAAUCAUACAUAGGGUAAAAUUACAAAUUGUAUCGAUUAAUACACAAAGGUCAUGUACAUUUAACGCAUUACAAUACAACGUUGUAAAAUUUCUUCUUCACGAAAGUUCCUUGAUCAUGAUCGCGACGUAAGUACGGAGCCUCUUCUUUGGAUAGCAGGAUGCUUGGAUCAACUUCAACAGCGAAUGGAGGCAUGCCAUCAAACUGAUCAUAAUCAUCUGAUUGGUCUGUUUUAUCCUCGACUCCCACGAUUUUUCUUUUACCUGGAAGAACUAUGUGGCACUUUGGCUCCCAUGUCUCUUCUGGAUUCCUCUUGGGUUUGCUGCACAUGUCCUUCACAUAGAACACCUGAUCCACAUCAUUGGCAAGUACGAAUGGGUCAUCACUGUAUCCAGUCUUGCUCAGAUCUACUAUUGUCAUUCCAUACUGAUCUUUGGUGACGGUAGUUAGCUUCACCCAAUUGCAAAGAAAUAGAGGGAUGUACAGCGGUCCGUAUUCGAGUUCCCAUAUCUCCUGUAUGAAACCAUAAUACGACUCCUUGCUAUUAUUUCUGUCCAUGGCAUCUAUGCGGACACCACUAUUCUGGUUUGUGCUUUUCUGGUCCUGGGCUCUCGUGUAAAAUGUGUAACCAUUUAUCUCAUAGCCUUGGAAUUUGACGAUUGUGCUAGCAGGUCCCCUGGCUAACUAGGCAAGCUGUGGGUGAAUCUCAGAGUUAUCCAUAAGUUGUUGGCGCAACCAGGAGGGAAAAGUUUCCAUGUGAUGACGGGUAAGCCAAGCAUCGGAUUUGGUCGGGUUUUUUGAAGCUACUAUCUGUCUGUGCUGCUCGAUAUACGGAGACACAAAGGAUGACUGUUGUAGAACAGUGUAGUGUGCCUUGUCGAACAAAUCAGUAUCAUUGCUCAAACUUGAUUUCCUUCCAAGGGUGCCCAUUCCUCGGAGCCUCCCCUCGUGGCGUGAAGUUGGAACCCCAAUCGAGUCAAUUGAAUCAAUAAAAUCAACACAAAACUCGAUCACCUCCUCUGUUCCAUAUCCCUUGGCGAUGCUGCCUUCUGGACGGGCACGAUUAAGAACAUAGUUUUUUAGGACUGCUAUGAACCUCUCGAAAGGCCACAUAUUGUGCAGGUAUACAGGUCCGAGAAUACCAAUCUCUUUUACUAGGUGAACCAGUAAGUGCGUCAUAAUAUUGAAGAAGGAUGGUGGAAAUAACAACUCAAAACUGACAAGACAUUGCACCACAUCGUUCUGUAGCUUUGAUAGCUUGGAUGGAUCGAUUGCCUUCUGCGAAAUCGCAUUGAGAAACGCGCAUAGCUUUACGAGCGGCAACCGGACAUUUUCUGGUAGAACACCCCUCAAUGCAACCGGAAGCAACUGGGUCAUCAACAUGUGGCAGUCAUGAGCCUUGAGAUUUGUUAACUUAUUUUGUUUCAUAUUUAUUAUUCCAUUUAUAUUCGAGGAGUACCCAGACGGGACCUUCAUACUAUUCAAGCAUUCAAACAUGCUAUCCUUCUCUUCCUUGCUGAGAGUGUAACUGGCAGGACGUAAGUAGUGCUGUCCAUUAUCUCUCUUUUCCGGAUUUAGGUCAUCUUGUUGCCCCAUGGCUUUCAGGUCCUGUCGUGCUUCCAAUAUAUCUUUUGAGGUUACAUAAACACCCAUGAAGCCUAGCACGUUCACGCAAAGAUUCUUCGUCAGGUGCAUCACGUCUAUUGCGUUGCGAACCUCUAGGAUUUCCCAAUAAGGUAGCUCCCAAAAUAUUGACUUUUUCUUCCACAUGGGUGCAUGUCCGUUAUCGUCGUUCGGAACAGGUUGGCUACCAAGUCCCUUUCCAAAGACUACAUUUACAUCCUUCAUCAUCUCGAACACACGCUUUCCAUUACGGUGUGCAGGUUUUUUACGAUGGUCUGGCGCCCCUUUGAAAUGCAUCCCGCUCUUUCUCAGCUGGUGGUGAGCAGGGAGAAAUCGACGAUGACCCAUAUAGACGACCUUCUUACAGUGCUUCAAGUACAUGCUGUCUGUGUCAUCUAAACAGUGGGUGCAUGCCCGAUAUCCCUUAUUUGUCUGUUCUGAAAGGUUACUCAAUGCAGGCCAAUCGUUGAUGGUUACGAACAACAAUGCUCGUAGAUUAAAGAUCUCUUGUCUAUCCUCAUCCCACACACGUACACCUUCUUCCUUCCAGAGCUGUAAAAGGUCAUCAACCAACGACCUUAGGUACAAGUCAAUGUCAUUGCCGGGUUGUUUUGGGCCUUGGAUAAGCGCCGGCAUCAUAAUGAACUUCCGCUUCAUGCACAGCCAAGGAGGAAGGUUGAACAUACAAAGGGUCACAGGCCAAGUACUAUGGCCACUACUCAACUCACCGAAUGGAUUGAAUCCAUCAGUGCUUAAACCAAACCUUAUGUUCCUUGCUUCACUUUCAAAGUCUGGGAAUGUUCUAUCAAUUGAUCUCCACUGUGCCCCAUCUGCGGGGUGUCUCAGCAUCUCAUCUUCCUUACGGUCUUCUUUGUGCCAUCGCAUCAACUUAGCAUUCGCCUUGUUCCUGAAUAAGCGCUUCAAGCGUGGUAUUAUAGGGAAAUACCACAUCACCUUCGCGGGAACUCUCUUCUUGGGAGACUGCCCCUCGACAUCACCAGGAUCAUCUCGCCUGAUCUUAUACCGCAGGGCUUCGCAGACGGGACAAGCAUCCAAUUUCUCGUAUUCAUCACCACGAUAGAGGAUACAAUCAUUAGGGCAUGCGUGUAUCUUCUGAACAUCCAAUCCGAGAGGGCAAAUAAUCUGUUUAGCUUCAUAUGUUGUGGACGGUAAUUCAUUAUUCUCGGGGAGAAUCUUCUUGACAAUGUUCAACAUCCCCUGAAAUGCCUUAUCGGACACACUAUUUUUUGUCUUCCAUUGCACAAAUUCUAGUGUCGUACCUAGUUUUUUAUGGCCCUGCUGGCAACCUGGGUACAACAAUUUUUGGUGAUCAUCUAUCAUGCGCUGCAACUUUGCUACUUCCUUCUCAGUUUUGCAAUCUCUGUAUGCAUCUCGUAUCACCUGACGAAGGUCAUCAGUAGGGCCAUUUUCUGCAAACUCAUCUUCAUCAGCCUCGCCCAUUGUAGUACCUACAAAAGCUUGGCCUGCAACCCAGUCCGGAAUGGUGUCAUCUUCCUCCUCCUCCUCGCCAUCUUCCAUUACAACCCCUAGUUCACCGUGCUUGGUCCAAACCAAAUAGUUAGGCAUGAAACCGUAUUUAAACAAGUGGCUGUGAAUAGUCCCCCAGCUUUCCUUUGAAUACUCCUUCCUGUUAUUGCAUUGGAAGCAUGGACACAUACGAACCUAUUCUCUGGCUUGUUCGCUUUUGCCAUUUCGAGAAAAUAUGCAAGCCAUCAAUAAACGUCUUGCUCCGCCUGUCUGCNNNNNNNNNNNNNNNNNNNNNNNNNNNNNNNNNNNNNNNNNNNNNNNNNNNNNNNNNNNNNNNNNNNNNNNNNNNNNNNNNNNNNNNNNNNNNNNNNNNNAACAUAUUGAAGGAGAAGGACAUACCUCCUUCUCGUCGGUAAAUCACGCGGGUUAGCCUCUGAGCCAGGUAUAUUGUCCAGUCGAUGCAGAAGGGAUCACAGUUGUUACCUAAGUCUAGUUUAGCCGCGGAGCUCAGCUUCAACCCGGAUUAAAGGUGAACCACCUUUUAUCCCGGUUGGAGCCUCCAACUGGGAUAAAAGGGUCCCGCCACCAACAGCUCCCCACUAGCCGUUGCAACCGGGACUAAAGGGGGGCCUUUAGUCCCGGUUGCAAUUACCAACCGGGAGUAAAUCUUCCCUCCAUUUUUGCCUACCGUGGCGCACCCCCUUUUGUCCCGGGCCAACUUUAAACCGGGACAAAAGGGGACGGAUCGAAAACCAAUUCUCUACUAGUGUCUAUUCCACAAAACCAUAAUUGUUCACCGGCUCCAGCAUUGCUGUUGCUCUCCACCAAUGGAGGAAGCUCUUGUCCUUGGCACCACCUUAUCCACUGACCAGCUGAAGUUAUCUGUACGUCCUAAGGUCUCAUAAGAUUUUUGAUGAAUUUGCAUUAAUACUAAUAUUGCCACCAAUCUAGUCUCAACCUUGCCUCGUGUUCUCCGUGGUCAUGUUUUAUUCUAACUUGCAAGCCCUACAACUACAUAUGAUGGUUCUUCUAUAUGCAUAAUAUAUCGCAUCUCCUAAGACAUAUCGCGGGCCGGCGGCGCGCGGGGGAGCGGUGCCAGCAGAGCGGAGGCGACCGGCGGUGGGCAGAGGUGGGUGGGUGCGGGUGCGGGCGAAGGCGGAGGAGCAUGUGGGCAGAGGCGGGUGGGCGUGGGCGGAGGCGGAGGCGGAGGCUGGCGUGGGCGUGUGCGGAGGCGGAUGGGUGGAGGCAUGCAGCGGCGGUGGGCAGAGGCGGGCGGGCGCAGGUGAGUGGCAGCUGGGCCAGCGGCGUGGGCGGAGGCGGAGACCGGCAGCGGUCGGGCGGCGCGGGCGGGCGGCCGGCGAGCGUGGCGCUUCUUUUUUUUUCCAAAUUUUUUAGUCCCGGUUAGUGGUUGGUAACACCAACUAGGACUAAAGGGGGCCUUUAGUUCUGGGUGGAUGACCUGGAACUAAAGACCUCCUUUUUUAUCUCGAAAAAUUUAUCUCGGACGGCUUUUAGAGAGAUGUGAGCGUAUCCAAUUGGGACUAAAGGUGAGUUUUCCACCAGUGAAUGCAGAGCAGGCUCAUCCUAAAUGGUGACACCAUGCUGAUCACGCAAUUUAUCAUUAUUUUAUCGACCUCAUCCGUGUUUGUCUUUUACCAUCUAUAUAGUAUGGUUAGUCAACGGCAUGCAGUACACCCAUGCAUAUGAUUGCAGUAGGAUAACAUAGCGCGACCAGAACUGACGCAGUUUGCCAGUUUUAGAUUCGUAUACACGGCCAACUUACGCAGCAGAGAGUUGCAUGCUAAGCAGUUCAGCGUAGGUGGUGAGUUCUCAACUCUGAUAUGGCUUAUGGAAGAACACUGUCACGGUGUCACCUAGCCGGUUGGAGGCCAACCUCUUACUAGGGACAGCAAUGGCCCUGUCCGGCCACUGUUUCGUGGCUGGUAUUAUUACCCCUAUGCAGUGAAUAUGACAUGUGGAUCUAUGUGUAUAUUAUGUCGUCGAAAGAACAUUAUAUGAACCGUUGAGCCACCUUUGAUUCUAUCAAUGUGUCAUGGUCAAUUGAUGUCAAACUCUAUUAUCUUCAAGUCUUAUUGUAUUGAAAAAAUCACGAUGCUCUGCUACUGCCAUUUUGAUGUUUAUAAAAGGGUAUUGAGAACCUGGUGGGUAUCCAUUCGAUGCGCUGGGGUGGGGGUGGGGAAAAAUGAGUGUAAAGGACAGGGAUACAGUAUUUAGAAGGAUGGGGCUGCCACAGAAGAUAGUCUCCAAGUAUGGCAGGGAAGAAUCUAAAACUGAAUCCUUGAUCAAGACUGUCCCAUAUUCAUGAAUAGUUCACUGACAGAUCUUGCUUCCAUAUUCUGAACAGCUGAUGCUGGGCACAUAGGAGGUUAACCGGUCAGCGGAUCGAAGAAAAAAAAAUUCUUGCCUGUCAGUGUCCACAAUGGCCUCAGCUUGGGUUAGAGACAAUCAUCCCUAAAGAAUCAUAUUGCCGGAUAAGGUUAUCUGUGAUUGGUGGGUGCAGAUCCAUACUCAUCCUAGAAACAAGCCAGGGCUGAAUAUGCCACUCAUUUUAGGUGCUUUGAUGUUGUGGUCACACCGAAAUGAUCAUGUGUUUAAUAAAGUUUCCUAUAGUGACUGGCGUGCAGGCUGUCCUCGUAUUCGAGAAAAAAAAUCAAUGGGCGAAAUAUUUUCACCCAGGUAAUUGUUGCAUUGUAUGAAUAGGCUUAGAUACCUGGUUAGAGUAUGAAUGUGCGUGUACCGUGACACAAGAAGAUUUAUCAUAUCCAUGUAUGAAUUAGUGUUAAAUCUGCUACAUAAAUAUCUUCUCUUAUCUCAUUGUAUGUGUAUAUAUGACACAGAAGCACAUGUAUAUUGGCAUUGUAGAGAGAGAUGAGAGAGAGAAGCUUAUCUGCUUUUUGGAGAUAAAUAUUCAAAUUACUGGUGUAUGAGAGGGAUAUAAUUAUUCUAUCAAAUUGUUUAUUCAACAUGUAAAAAGAUUCCAUGUUUAGUCAUCUAUAUCGGCAUUGUAGAGAGAGACUAGUGUUCAGCUGGUUGGAAGGAUGAGAGAGAGAGGAGAGAGUUCGGAUGAGAGAGAGACUAGUGUUCAGCUGGUUGGAAGGAUGAGAGAGAGGAGAGUUUGGAUGAUAGAGAGAUUAGUGUUCACCUGGUUGGAAGGAUGAGAGGGAGAUGAGAGAGUUCGGAUGACGAGGUGGAGAGUUCGGAAGAGAGAGAGGUGAGAGUUCGGAUGAGAGAGAAAGCAGCUUAGAAGGAUGAGAGAGAAAGUGGUAUUCAGCUGGAUGGUGGAGACUUCAUAUAUUACUAACUAGCAAGGUGUCCGUGCGUUGCUAUGGUGAAACGACGUUGCUUAGCGCGCGAUGCUUUUUAUCAUGUCGUGUAGCAUACCACAUUUUUUAUCGUGCUGUGGAACUUUUCUAUUUUAGUAGUAUUAGACUUUUCAUAUAUAAGGGGCCACAUGAGUGUGUCCAUAUCCUAACCGUGAGGAGACCGCUUGCCAUGGAACUUGUUAUCUCUUUCUCUAUCUUGAGAUUGGUAGGCUUCUACAGCAAUUCUGCACAAAAAAGGCCCCACUUCGCCCCACUUCGCCUCGCUCUCGCUGUCCGGUUAGUCCCGCGCCUACCCUCUCCCUCUCCGAUCCUCGCCGCUAGCUCCUCGGGGUCCAAGUCGGGCCCGUGAUGUAGCGGCCUGUUAUCCUUCCACCGUUGGAAGCGGGCAGUGAUCGCUGCUCUGUGAACCCAGCCUCACGCCAUUCCUACCACUUCAGGUCCAGUGAAGCCCGAGCUUUUGCUUGGGCCGAACAGGCCACUACCAACUUGGAGCAGGCAAGGCCAGCAAGGGCACACAAUAGACCCAAGCCCAGAGUCCACACCCAAACAUCCACACCACCUUAAUACCCCCACUUGGGUUACAAGCCCGCGCAACCAAGCUCGAUGAGGAUGGCUCGUGAGGACGAACAUUUGAGCUGGUGCGGCGCUGCUUCAGAUGGCGAGGUGGUACUAAUCUAAGGAAUAGGAAAAUUUCACGUGGGUCCCACACCGCACCUACCCCUAUCCUUAUCCUUUCUCAUCUCUCUACCGUUCAUCCGGUCCUUAUCCUCCUCAUCUCAUCUCUCUCUCUCUCUCUCUCUGUCUCUCUCUCCCUCUCUCGCUCUCAAACUCUCUAUCUCUCCUAUCCCCUCUUUCUCUGGAGAACGCGGUGCACGGCUGGCCCCAGCGGCGGCCUGGGGGCGCGGGUGCUGGCGGCAGCCGAGGGUUGCGGGGCUGCGGCGAGGAGCCUCCUGGCCGUGGAUGCGACGGCCUAGCCACGGGUGCCGGGCCGCAUCGCACCGCGCGCUGCUGCCACCGAGUAGGCUGCACGCACUGCCUGCACACCAGGCGGGGUGGGCGGCCAGGGCCGAGCGGCGCGGCCGGGGCCGGGGAGGUGACUCUGGCGCGGCCGAGGCGGCUUGGGCGCGGCCAGCUGUUGUGGGUAGGGAGAGGUGGACAGCGGCGCAUGGCGGUGUGGAGAGGCGGACGUGGGGCACGAACGGGUGAAAGGGGAGACGGGGAAAGAAAGCUGGACCCACCUAGCAAUGCAGCCGGGGCCGGGGCCAGGGUAGCGCGGGUGGCCGAGGCCGAGGCCGAGGCCAGGCGGCGCAGUCGGGGCUGGGGAGGCGGCUUUGGUGCAGCCAGCCGUGGCGGGCAGGGAGAGGCGGAGAGUGGCGCAACGGCGGCGUGGAGAGGCGGACAUCAGGCACGGGCGGGUGAAAGGGGAGACAGGGAAAGAAAGCUAGACCCACCCGUCAAUGCAUUAAUCUUACCUAUUAUUAAACAUCAGGGCCACCUCUCGUUGAUAGAAGUUGGACCAAACCAAAAAAAGUGGGCAGAAGUGUUCCUUACUUUAAUAAUAAUAAUAAAGUAUAGAUAAUGCAUCCAAACAACAUUUGGAAUUUAAUUCUAAGAAAAACUUUCUCAGUACAUCCAAACUAGAAAAUUCAAUUGAAUAAAAUUCUACGGAAUGCAUUUCUUAUGGAAUCUAAUUGGUAGAAUAUGAUUUAUGGGAUGAGUUUCAACUCUAGGGAUCCAAAUAGGCUCUUAGUUAUUUCUUAUGUAGCUCAAAUCAGAAGGAAGGUACGUCCAAACUAAAAAACGUAAGUUACUUUGUGUUAUCUUGUGAAUCAGUGAUUAAUUACUUCCAAUCUUAUGUAAAAAGAACUACGAGUCAAAUUCUUUGUCAGAUUUAUACUGACAAGUUACAAGCACAUGCCUCUGCAGUAACAGGCCAGCCCUAGACUAGUGGGCAAACCAAAAACAACAUGAUUCGUCAACUGAUCGAAUGCUAAUGACUAUUUUGCUAGGAGAAUGAACAUGAUUCAUACAAAGCAGGGGAGCUACUAACUUGGUCAAGGUCUCCGUCCUCUAGCUACUAACAUGAUUCAUACAAAGAAGGGGCCAUCUUGCUCCACUCCACGUCUGCGUGGUUGCUCGGCGGGCGCGACGGUGUCGGCUGCGGAGUGCGGACGGCGCGUAGAUAUGUCAUUGUUGAUCAGGACAUGCACUUCUAUCACAGUCUGUGGUUGGCGUCCACGGCCGAGCGGGUCAAGGUCUCCGUCCUCUAGCGUGGGGAAACAGGAUCUCUUCAAUCAGUGCUUCUACAGAAACGGUGCACGGUCACCACGGACCAACGACAUACCAUGAGAAAAGCAGAGCUAAAUGUUGCAGUAGCAGAGUAACCGGAGACUGGAGAGCACUUGCUGCUAAAAGCUGCCUCUUAUUUUGUAUCGUCUUAACCGAAGACUUUAAGUCAACCGCCAUUCGAUUCCAAUAUAAACUAGCAAGUUGGUCCGCGAUAAUAGCGCGGCUAGAUUUGAUACAGUAUAAUUUUUUUAAAUGCUAUGUUAGCUUAGUAUAUUUCUUUGUCCCUCUUGAUUUGUUUUUCAUCCUCUUGAAAUCACUGAGUAUACUUAGGUGCCUUACUCUACACAUUGAGUAUCAAGCCAUAUAUGUAUAUUUUUUUUUUGCAAAUGAACUCCGAUGCCACAUGCGCAUAUGCACGCCUAAUUAAAAUUGCUCACUUGUAAAAAAAUAAGAACAACUUGAGUAGUUGAUUCUGAUCUUAUGUUGCAGUUUUUGCCAACUUUUCCUAGUAUUAUUGUGUUGAGUAGAAAGCCUGUGUAGAGAAAGAUCCAAAACAAACAAUCGUGUCAACUACUCCCCAUGCUUGCUCAAAUAAUUUUGAAAAAAAAAACAACCGCGCUCUAAGUCCUAGGGAGGUGAUAUUCCUCCUUACUUUCCUCCUCUCGUUUUCCUUGCACAAUCGAGGAUGACAAAUACCACAAACCACUUAGGCUCUAUCAUGUUUCAUCAUCACAUUCCUCAAAUCUUGAUCACGUUGUUGUCUUCAUUAUGUUAACAGUACACAUCUCUCCGCCUCUUCUAUUCCACAAAACCAUAAUUGUUCACCGGCUCCAGCAUUGUUGUUGCUCUCCACCAAUCGAGGAAGCUCAUGUCCUUGACAUCACCUUAUCCACUGACCAGCUGAAGUUAUCUGUACAUCCUAAGGUCUCAUAAGAUUUUUGCUGAAUUUGCAUUAAUAUUAAUAUUGCCACCAAUCUAGUCUCAACCUUGCCUUGUGUUCUCGGUGGUCAUGUUUUAUUCUAACUUGCAAGCCCUACAGCUACAUAUGAUGGUUCUUCUAUAUACAUAAUACAUCGCAUCACUUAAGACAUAUAUCGCGGGCCGGCGGCUCAUGGGGGAGCGGCGCCGGCGGAGCGAAAGCGACUGACGGUGGGCGGAGGCGGGUGGGUGCGGGCGGAGGCGGAGGCCGGUGCGGGCGCGUGCGGAGGUGGAUGGGUGGAGGCGUGCAGCGGUGGCGAGUAGAGGCGGGCGGGCACGGGCGAGUGGCAGCUGGGCCAGCGGCGGCCGGGCGGCCGGCCGGUGAGCGUGGGGCUUUUUUUUAUUUUUUUUCAAAAUGUUUUAGUCCCGGUUCGUGGUUGGUACCACCGACCGGGAUUAAAGGGGAAGACCCCGUCUUUUGUCUCGAAAAAUUUAUCCCGGAUGGUUUUUAGAGAGAUUUGAGCCUACCCAACCGGGACUAAAGGUGAGUUUUGCACCAGUAAUGCAGAGGAGGCUCAUCCUAAAUGGUGACACCAUGCUGAUCAUGCAAUUUAUCAUUAUUUUAUCGCCCUCAUGCAUGCUGUGCAUGAUUGAUAUUAGUAUUGGGCAGCUUAGAUUCCUCAGCGCAUCAUGCUGCUCAGCCAUGGAGGUCAAGGCAUCAAUAUUGUCCAUAUCACAACGUCUCUGCUUUCUCUUGUUGUCCUCCCCCUUCCCUCUACAUUGCACCUUCUUGUUUUCCUGAUCCUAUUGCCAGUUUGUUGCAGCCAUUUAUGGGCACCUCUUUCGUCCAUUGUCCACUGUUGUUGCCCGCUGCCUCAGUUCUUCUCUAACCAAAGCGGUCGUAUCGCGCUGGUCGGUAGGAAGCCAUCGUCUCACAAAAGCAUCGUCGUGAUCGCCAAACCACAUCUAGCCGAUGCCGAACCAUACUUGCCAUCUUCUUUGCCAACUUGCCGCUAUGGAAGCCUCCAUGCAUCGCUCCUCGAGUCUAUCCUAUCUCUAUCAGCUCCUGUGGUAUCCUGUUUUGUUUUUGCCUCAACCACGAAGCCAUAGGUAGCUGGUGCUAAAUUGCAGGGCCAGCAACAGCUAUUUCCUCUCCCUGGCCUUGCGGCCAUGCUAUGUAUUUUUCUCUCUCAAAAAAAAUUCCAAUGAUUUAAUUCUAAUGUUCCGAUCAUGUGUGAUUGGUUUAUUAAUUAAAGUUAUAGUUAUACACGAGUAUAUUAUAAAAAAAUAAUAUAUAUAUAAGUUACCAUACAAAGUACAACUUCCAAUAAGGUGGAGAGGUUCGGAUGGAAUUUUGAUUCAACUUACUCUAUUCUAGAUAUUAGAGUUGUACUAGCAAAAUAUCCAUACAUUGCUAUAGCAAAAUAUCCGUACAUUUGCUACGGUAAAAGAUCAAUUGUGUUUUUCAAACUAAUAAUAUUUUUUAUUUUCAUCACUAAAGUUUUAUUCCACUUAUUGGAUGUCCACACAUUUAAUAGAAAACUAAAAGAAUUUUAACUAAUUAUUUCCUUCAACUCAAAUACCAAUUAAAUUAAAAUAUUUUUUUAUUCAAGCAAGAGAGUUAAAUCAGCCUCCGAUGGCCAUCGAUGAGGGGCUCUUUAGUCCUGGUGAGUAAUAUCAACCGGGACUAAAGAACCCCUUUAGCCCCGGUUGUAAAAGUUAGUGGCCUCGGGAUUCUGUUGGGGCGUUUUGUCCCGGUUGCAACUACCAACCGGGACUACGCUCCCCGCCUCCACACACACAAUGUGCGUGCCUCACUUUCUCUCCUCCCUCUCCUUAAUUCCAGUACCCAAGCCUCCUCUCCUUAAUUCCAAUACCCACAUGCCUCCUCUCCUCCUCCCUUCGGCCCCUGCCUCCUCUCCUCCCUCUCCUUCUCCUCCGCUAGAUCCGGCCAACCCCCAUUCCCUCUUCCAAGCUCCUCCCUCUCCCUCGACCGAGGCGGGCGGCGGGCGCAGGUCGGGUGGCGCGGCUGGGGCCGAGGCGGCGUGGGCGGCCGGGGGUCAGGGAGGAUGAUAGGUGGUUACGAGGAUGAUACCUGCAGACAAUACUUUUAGUCCCUCAAUUUUUUCUGAGAAUUGCACUGUGAGCUGCGCUUUCAUUUAUGUCACACCGCUCAGCAAAAAAAACGGUGCAAAUCGACCAAAAUAAAUGAAUAAAUCACACGGUUUAGACUGGUGGCAUCUGUAUGUUUGAUGAGUUUUGAAUCCCAACAGACCUCUGUUUGCUUAUCCAACAGGAGGAAAAAACUUUACUUACUAAAUCAGCUUUGCAUGCCAGGCUGCAAUUGUUAGAGCAGAAUUGGGUAAUUUGUGAACAUAAUUGAAUCAAAGUUUUGUCUCAGACUAGUAAUAGAAAAUGGUAAUGCUCCACAGCUAGAACACGUUCCUACACUAGUUUAAAAAAUUCCCUGAAAUUGGCGACAAUGGUCAAGCUCAAUGUCAAAGUCAAAAAUUCCUACACACGUUCCUACCAUACUUGGAACUUGGAAGGCCGCUGGUCGAUGUCAAAGUCAAAAACAGAAGCAGACAGCGACGUCUCACCAGAUCACGAAUCAGAUGCGAUGCAUGUGCAUGUUCAGCAAGACAUUGAAAAGCAAGCUCUGUCUGGCAGCAGCUCUUCAAUACGCUCCAGCCCAUCUCUACCAUGGCAUUGGCAAUGCGCGUCAUGAGCUUGCUUCCUGCCACCAUCGCCGUGAUGAUCGCAGCGGCCUCCUGGGGAGCGCACGGCGGUGCCAGCGACGAGGCCAGCGCGCUACUUGCUUUCAAGGCUGAGCUCGCCGGCAGCGGCUCCGGCAUGCUUGCAUCCUGGAAUGGCACCGCUGGCGUCUGCGGCUGGGAGGGCGUGGCGUGCACCGGCGGCCAGGUGGUGGCACUGAGCCUGCCCUCCUAUGGGCUCGCCGGAGCCCUCUCCCCGGCCAUUGGGAACCUCACUUUCCUGCGGACCCUGAACCUGAGUUCCAACUGGUUCCAGGGGGAGGUCCCAGCAAGCAUCGGCCGCCUAGCGCGUCUGCAGACGCUUGAUCUGAGAUACAAUGCGUUCUCUGGUACGCUUCCUUCCAACCUCAGUUCCUGUGUCAGCUUACUGCUGUUAGAUCUCAGCAGUAACCGGUUCCAUGGGCGUAUCCCUGUUGAGCUUGGAGACAAGCUAACAAGUCUUCAGAAGUUCUCACUGGGCAACAACAGCUUGACGGGUGCCAUACCAGGAUCACUAGGUAACCUGUCAUCCCUGAUCUACCUUGAUCUGACAGAAAACCACCUCGAGGGUCCGAUCCCACAUGAACUUGGCAGCAUGGGCGGCCUGCAGGUCCUUUUCCUCUAUGAGAACAGACUCUCCGGUGUGCUUCCACACUCCCUGUACAAUCUGUCCUCACUGAAAAACUUGGUGGUAGGAAACAACAUGCUGUCUGGAACCAUCCCUGCUGAUAUCGGCGAUAGGUUCGCCGGUAUGGAAGUUCUUGACUUUAGUAGCAACCGAUUCAGUGGAGCUAUCCCACCUUCGCUCGGCAACCUCUCUGCUCUCACGUUACUAAACCUUCCAGGAAAUGAUUUUAUUGGAUAUGUGCCUUCUGCUUUGGGGAAGUUGCAAAGUCUUACUGACCUGUUCUUGAGUGACAACAGGCUAGAAGCAAACGACAGUCAAGGGUGGGAAUUCAUCACUUCACUGGCAAACUGCUCCCAGCUUCAGUAUCUUGUUCUCGGCAACAACUCUUUCAGCGGGCAACUGCCUAAUUCAGUCGCAAACCUGUCAUCAACUCUGCAACAUCUUUAUUUGGGAGACAAUAUGAUUUCUGGGAAUAUUCCAAUAAACAUCGGAAAUUUGGUUGGUCUUACAGUACUUGAUAUGGCAAAUACUUUAGUAUCUGGACAGAUUCCAGAGAGCAUUGGUCAGCUAAGAAACUUGGUUGGGUUAGGCCUUUACAACACUAGCUUGUCAGGCCUCAUACCUUCAUCACUAGGAAAUCUUACACAGUUGAAUAAUCUUUAUUUAUACUAUGGAAACUUAGAGGGGCCAAUUCCAUCAAACUUGGGGAACUUAAAGAAUGUGUUUGCCUUUGAUCUCUCAACAAAUCGACUCAAUGGUUCAAUUCCUAUAGAGGUUUUAAAACUUCCUCGACUUUCCUGGUACUUAGACUUAUCAUAUAAUUCACUAUCCGGGCCACUUCCAACUGAGGUUGGUACCAUGGUGAAUCUUAACGAACUGAUUCUGUCUGGAAACAAGUUCUCAGGCACCAUACCAGCUAGUGUUGGGAACUGUAUAUCGUUGGUAAAGCUGCUGCUCGAUAACAACUUAUUAGAAGGAAGCAUACCUCAAUCUCUGAAGAACUUAAAAGGUCUUGCAUUACUGAACCUAACAAUGAAUAAGCUAUCUGGUAGUAUUCCUGAUGCCCUUGCUAGCAUUGGCGACCUGCAACAACUGUAUCUUGCACACAACAACUUGUCAGGUUCCAUCCCCAAAGUUCUACAGAAUUUGACAUUGUUGGCAAAACUGGAUUUGUCCUUCAAUGAUUUGCAAGGCGAAGUGCCAAAAAGGGGUCCUUUUGCAAAUGCAACUCACUUGUCAAUUGAUGGAAAUGAUGAGCUUUGUGGUGGAAACCCUCAACUUCACUUAGCUCCGUGCUUCACAGCUGCUGCGGGGAAGAACAGAAGGCGAAUGUCAAGGUCAGUUAUGGUCACCGUAGCGUCAAUCUGCGCACUUCUAUUCUUAGGUUUAGUAGUUUUUCUUAUCCAUUUGAUCCACAAGACGCUCAGACAAGGAAAGGAAAAUCAACUCAUUCCCACAGUAAUUGAUGAACAGCACGAAAGGGUUUCAUAUCAAGCAUUAGCAAAUGGGACUGACCAUUUUUCGGAGGUUAAUCUGCUCGGACAAGGAAGCUAUGGUGCAGUUUAUAAGUGCACUUUACAUGACAAGGGAAUUACCGCAGCUGUAAAGGUAUUCAACGUACGGCAAUCUGGGUCUACUAGAAGUUUUGUGGCUGAAUGUGAGGCACUGCGAAGGGUGCGCCACCGAUGUCUCAUAAAGAUCAUCACCUGUUGCUUAAGCAUUGAUCACCAAGGCCAAGAAUUCAAGGCACUGGUUUUUGAGUUCAUGCCCAAUGGUAACCUAAAUGAUUGGCUGCAUCCAGCAUCCAAAAUACAGAGUCUGAGCAAUACACUCAGCUUAGCUCAGAGACUAGACAUUGCGGUAGAUAUCAUGGAUGCUCUGGAUUAUCUUCACAAUCAGUGUCAACCGCCUAUUAUCCAUUGUGAUCUCAAACCAAGUAACAUCCUCCUUGCCGAAGAUAUGAGUGCUCGGGUUGGAGAUUUCGGCAUAUCAAAAAUCCUUCCUGACGACACUAGCAAAACUCUGCUGAAUUCAGUUAGCUUCACUGGACUAAGAGGUUCCAUCGGAUAUGUCGCUCCAGGUAACAGAAACUAACACUGAUAUUGCUAUGUUCAGUUUUUAACUUCCAUUUUGCCAAGUCCAGUUAUCUCGGCAUGCACGUUGAUAAGUAGCUUGCCAUGAAUCCACUGACCAAAUAGUGUCUGAAAUCUGAAUUGACUGCAGAGUACGGCGAGGGUCGCGCUGUCUCAACUCUUGGAGAUGUUUACAGCCUCGGCAUACUGUUGCUUGAGAUGUUCACCGGGAUGAGCCCUACUGACGACAUGUUCAAAGGCUCCUUGGACCUUCAUAAGUUCGCCGAGGCCGCUCUCCCCGACAGAGCCUUGGAGGUAGCCGACCCGGCAAUCUGGUUUCAUGAAGAAGCAAAGGGCGAAGACCCUGCCACGGUGAGAAGCAGAAGCGAGAGGUGCUUGGCUUCAGUGGUCGGGCUUGGCGUGUCCUGCUCAAAGCAGCUGCCAAGGGAGCGGACGGCGAUGCGGGAUGCUGCCGCUGAGAUGCGUGCGAUCAGAGAUGCCUUCCUGGUUCAAUGUGCAACAGAGACUUGGCCUGCAGUCGGCACCACCGGCCUUGGGAGCGCAGACAGUUGAAUGGUGGACGGAGCUACGGUCUCUUGAUGAACCAAGGAGCACCGGACUAGCAACUCUGCAACUAACAGAGUGGAGAAAGCGCCCCUUAAUGAAAAGAAAAACAGCCGGUGCAAGGCUUUAUAAAAAGAAUGUGACAGCCACUGCGUGUAUCCGAGAGACUUAUCUAAUCUACCGAGGAUUGUUGGGUAGGGAUGCGUAUAGAUUAUGCACGUGCUCCCUCCGUCCCAAAAUAAAUGCACAUCUCGCUUUUCGAGGAGUCAAACUUCUAAGUUUGACUAAAAUUUAUAAAAAAAUGUACUACUAUUUAUAAUGUAUAAUAAAUAUCAUUAGAUUGGGCGUUGGAUAUACUUUCCUAAUAUAUUUAUUUGAAGAUGCAAAUGAUGAUACUAUUUUCUUUAUUCUUAGUCAAACUUAAAAAUGUUUGACUCUUCGAGAAGUGAGAUGUGUGUUUAUUUUGGGAUGGAGGGAGUACCCGUCACGGGGAUUAGUCACGAUAUAAGUAGGGACUAGCAAGCACCAAAAUCCCAUUCACUGCCCUUCGAUCGCUCAAAUAAAACAAACCAUUGCAUAUGGUGGCGAUGCGCUUGCGGGCCUUUUUCCAACCUUUCUGCUGUCGUGGGUCUUGAACUCGCAUGGAACAGUUUUAGUGAAAGCGUGCCCUUCAAUUUUGGGAAGAUUGCGAAGCCUCAUUUACCUGUCCUUAGUGACAAUAAGUUAGGAUCCAAUGAUAAGGACGGAUUGGAAUUCAUCACCAUGCUGGCAAACUGCAGCCAGCUUCAGCAACUGGCUUUUGACAAUAAUUCAUUCAUCGGGGAACUUCCUAGCUCAAUUGCAAAUCUAUCGACAACACACCAAUUACUCUGUAUAGGAAACAAUUGGAUUUCGGGAUUUAUUCCAUCCAGCAUAGGUAAUUUGCUUGGUCUAGAACUGCUUGCGUUGGCAAAUACUUUCAUAUCCGGAGUGAUUCCAGAUAGCAUUGGUCGCCUAGAAGACAUGUCCGUGUUAGGCAUUUACUACGCUAGCUUGUCAGGCAUCAUACCUUCGUCACAAGGAAACCUUACACAGUUGAAAACUCUCUAUGCGUACGAUAGCAACUUCGAGGGUCCAAUUCCAGCAAGUGGGGGAACUUAAAGAAUGUUGUUGUUCUUGAUCUCUCAACGAAAGUGUGUAACCCGCUAAGAUUUCGUGUCGAAGCAAAGCAUAAACCUCUCUUAAGACUGCAAAGCUAUCAUAGAGCAGAUCAGUCUAAGACAAUGUAGAACUUAGUCAAAUUUUAUUUAUAAACAUUCAAGUACAAUUUAUGCAAAGUAAAUUUGAAAAUAAAGUAUACGUAAACAUCUAAGCGCAUAGCUUUAUGAUUUGAGUUGAACUAACCAAAUAUAAUUGAAAAACACAUUUAUAUUUAUAUUAAGUCAAAUUAACAUAUAAUUAUGAAAGCUCGAGAUAUAACUUAUGGAGCCUUUAUUUAGAAAACAAAUUGAAUAAACAUUAAUCAAUUUAAGUUUAAUUAUGAACCACCAUGUUGCAUCUCUCAUUGACUUUUAAUUGAAAGAGUUAUUUAAAUAAGCAUUAACUAAUUUAGCAUUUAUUAUGAAAAGCAGUUAUAACACUAAGUAGCUUUUAAUUAAAGAAGACAUGUUUAACAUGCAUUAAUCAGAUUAAUAUUAAAUUUAUUUUAAAAACAUGCAUGAUGGAAAGAUCAGUACUAACAUGUAAUUUGUGUUAUUACAAACCUAACUCAAUAAGAACAGAUAUAAACGGAGCUGUAACGACCAGUCUAUGGGUUAAACAAGGUUGCAGGGCCUAAUCAUGAUUAACGGAAGGUUAUUGGGGCUAGCAAGGAAGAUUUGCAAGACACUGGAAUAGAGCUCCCCAUUAGGUCAAAGCAUAGGGCGAUUGCGAAAUCAAGAACUCGAAGGUGAUCGCGAGAACACGAAGGACACGAAGGUUUUAGAUAGGUUCGGGCCUCCGGAGAGUAAUACCCUACGUCCUGUAUGCUAGUUUGUAUUGCUUGAGAUUGAUCUGAUUGUUGGGAUACCCUCGGGGGUGCCCUUGGCCGCCUUAUAUAGGCUGACGACCAAGAGUUAAAAGUCAGUUUGAAUCUAAUCUACUCGGUAGUUACAUGGAAAGUAAUCUGAGUUGGACUACAGUACACGUUCCAUGAUAUCCAGGCAGAUUUGAACUGUCUUGUUGCCUUGACUUGCACUCCAAGUAACUUCAUGUCCUCGGCCCGCACGCCCUAGUCGGGCGGGCCCUACUUGUCAGUCCGGCCAGUAUCCUGGUCGGUCGGGGCCCAUGGGGUACCCAUAUCCCUCAAGCCCCCGAGCAUUGUGUAGGUGAAGAGUAACUUGAGGUCACCACAGUGAAACUUGAAAUGAAGUCGGCUGAAGCUACGAAGACAUCAUGGCGACGGAGAGGCUGCACAGUGCUCAAAAGAAGAAAUUCUGAGCAAACGCAGAGCCAACGCGUAGAGCGAAGACGAGUGCCGAGUUGAUGGAUGCUGGCAUUCAGCAGUCGGAGCAAAGGUUAUGGAGGGCCUCGCAAAACGCACUCUGUAGGAGUAGCCCCCGAGCAUUAAAGUGAUUAAGAUAAUCGGUACAAUAGUCAAAGAAGAAAAAGUUAUCCCCUAAAGUAGAUCCUAGUGCUCGAACAUAAGGAUGGGUGAAGCCAUGGAGGCCCGCCAACCAGAAGUAGGCACCCAGACCCAAGAAUGAGGACUAGCGGGACCGUGUAGCCACGUUGACCUGAAAUAGGCGCCCAACCCCUGAGGACGAGGACUAGCGGAGCCACGGAGGCAUGCCGACCUGAAGUAGGCACGCAACCCCUGAGGACGAGAACUGGAGGAGCCAUGAAGACACGCCGACUUGAAAUAGACGCCAAGCCCCUGAGGAUGAGGACCAGUGGCGCCACGGAGGCACGCCAGCCAGAAUUAGGCAUCCAACCCCCGAGGAUGAGCAUGAGGACUGGUGGAAGCACGUCGAGGUGCCUCCCGCCUCGAGCCGAGGCAGAGAGGUCAGUCGGGCGACGGGAGGCACAUGAGUCAUCUAUGGCGCGCAACCGCCGAGCCUGGGAGCCGGACGAGUUGCAGAAGCAUGCCAAGUCGCCUCCCGCGGCGAGCUAGAGAGGUUUGCUGGGCGACGGGAGGCACGCCAAGUCAUCUGCAGUGCCCAGCCCUCAAGCCUUAGGGCCGGCUGAGCCAUAGAAGCAUGCCAAGCCGCCUCCCGCCCCGAGCCAGAGAGGUCGGCCGGGUGACGAGAGGCACGUCGAGUCAUCUGCGGCGCCCAGCCCCCGAGCCUAGGAGCCAGACAAGUCAUAGAAGCAUGCCAAGUUGCCUCCCAUCCCGAGCUAGAGAGGUCGGCCGCGUGACGGGAGGCACGCCGAGUAGUUUUUGAGCUAUAAAAGGACAAUACAAUCAUCAUGUAGCAUAGUGUAGAUCGUUUAAUCAUUGAACAACUCGGAAGUUUAAUUCACUAUAUAAGUAAACUCUUGCGCAUCCUGCUCUUGUAGGCUAAGUAAUUUCCCCAGGUAGUUAGCCUGUUACGUUUAAGCACCUAGCCCUACUGACCACUGCUCACAGAGAUGACGGUUUAUCUCAAGCUAUAGCGCUGGGGCUGACCUGAUGCUUGCAUAUAGGAGACGCGCAGGAUGAGUUAAGGUUUUACGGAUUAAGGCAUGUGCUACCCGAGUACUUUAGCAACUGUUAACAGGGACAGACAAGUUGCAAAGCAGCCGGAACUGUGCGGAAAAGCACCAGCAUGAGCUAGGCACCCAUGGGGUGUAACCCCUGGCCGCCCGUGUAGUGGACGGACCAAGUUGUAUAAACAGUUAGGGUGCGACCAAGGUGGUGGGCAAAAGUCACGGAGACAUAGGAGAGCUGAGGCGGUCGACGAAAGUCACAGGAACAUGGAGGAGCCGAGGCUUAUGUAGGUAUACGGAAGCCAUAAAAUAUUUAAUUGUAAAUAAGACUUAGCUUGAUUCGUGAUCGAGUCGAAGAACCCGCAUGUCGUCUUUGCGUUUAGGCUUAGAAGCCCCUGAGCGUGGUCAGCGGAUAGUUGUUGGUGAAGCAAACUAGUAGGGCUCCAUGCCCGACUAAUUCGUGUCAAGUCCGAGUUGUUGGAGUUGUUAGUGGCAAGUCUGUGGCUGCGAUCGUGGUAUGCUGCUGCCAAGUCGAUGCGGCCAUCGGGUCGUGGCUGGCUGGCCGCCACGCUCGCAAUACAGCAUGCCUGGGUUGUGCUGCCAAACCAAAGGUGCAUGUACAUCUUUCCGAACCUCGUAAGGAAGCCCUCAGGUAUUAAGGAAAUCUAUACCUAAUAUUAAAGUGCGGUUGUUUGUUCCAACCAUUAUGGUUGUUUUGCAAAAAAGUCCCUCAACUUUUUCGUAAUCAGCUCGCAGUCCUUGGAAUAUGUCUUGAUGAUUUUGCAAAAAGGUCCCCAAACUUUACUGCAAUUGGCCGUCGAAGCUCCCGCAGCAUGCACCUACGCCACGUGCGGUGCGGACGAGUGUGCUGGCGGUGGCUGCAAGCUCCUCACCACAGCGGGGACCAGGUCGAGCAGCGACAGCGAUGACGGAGGGGAGUAGUCCGCAUCCGCGUGCCGUGCUUCCAUCGUCGGGCAAGCUGUGGCGGCGGUGGAGAGGGAAAGUGAGUACAUCGGCGUGUGGCAGCAGUCGUGGGGCAGUUUGGCGGCGGAGAUCCAUGACCCGCACCUCGCUGUGCGCAAGUGGCUCAGCACCUUGGACACCAUUGAGGACGCCACACACGUCUAUGAUGUCGCCGCCAUCGAGUUCCGAGGCCACCACGCCAAGCUCAACUUCCCCGACGACAUGGUCCCCGUGCCCGCACCUUCUAGGGUGCCCACCUCUACAUACCACUACCACCACCACCUGCCGCAGCCGCUGCCCAAGAGUCUGCACAAGACCUGCGGGUCGAACGCAUCGUCGUCGGUGCACAUGGCUCCUGGAUGACGGCAGCUUCUUGUCACCCAUGCCAUGAUCGUCACAUUCUCCUCUUGUUUUCACUUUCGUUGCUUAGCGGAUAAUGGUGGUCAGCUGCCCUUUGGUCUGUCGUCAAUCACCAGCCAUCCAUCGCUUUCAUAUGGUUUUACACUAGCUUUUGGGCUUUGACCACACCUCCACACCCAUAAAGUGGAGUGAUGUUGAUCUACUGCCGCUCGCCCUGGCGUGCAACUACUGUCGCUCACCCUAGCACAUGGCUACUCACUCGGGCUGCGUGCCCUACCCGCCACCUGGACCUAAGAGGUGAAGGAGAGAGGAGGAAGGGGGAAGGAAAUAAGGAGCCGAGUGCCUCUUUGCAGUCAACCAAGUAGAUCCAUGUGCCAGCGAAGGCAUGGCGCCAGCAAGGGGGGGGGGGCGCAGCAGCAGUCGGCAGGCAACGCAAAUUGGGGCAGAGGUUGGGACCUCACACCCCCCCUCUCAAUGACGUCCAUCCCCUUAAGAUCCGGAACUAAAGCCUCCACAUCUAGCAAUUGGGGGCUCAAUUUUGCACUUGAUUGAAAUGAUUUGGAGUGGAUUAUGGAAGGGAAGUGGAUGGAAAUGAGAAGAGGAGGAGAACGCACUCCUGCUCAUGGCGGCCAGAGGCGUUGUGGCCUAGCGCUCGAAGCAGGAAUGAGGCUAGGCACAGGAAGGACGAGCGCUUGCCUGGGCGAUGGUGAGGAUGGCAAGAUGCGCAGCGCCUGGAUGACGGCGAAGAUGGGGCUAGAUGCGGGUGGCGCUGAUGGAUGAAGAGGCAUCGACUGGCUAGAUGACGAUGAGUACGGGGGAAAUCGAAUGAAUGGAUGGAGCGGAGGUUGAGCGGUGAUUUUUUUUAUUUCCAUAUGUGGGUCCCACAUAAUAAACAUAUGGCAUCAAAUCACCCAUAAAUAUCUUCUACUACUAUACUGAGACAACGCACCAACAUAUGGUGAACCGAAGCCACCGUAUUACGAACAAGCGAAUAAUAACGUGAGAAUAAGUAAGGACCUGUAGCAACGCACGGACAUUUCUGCUAGUGAGAAAAAAAAUUGUUAUCUACCGCAGUAAGCACCGAGCAACAUAGGAGAUCUACUGGAUGGAAUAGAUUAAAUAAUAAAGGGAAGGGAGAAUUGUUUCCUUUUUUUUCCGUGGCAGAUCCGACAUGUCUGCAUGCAACAAGUUGAGGCCGACGUGUCGUGCUAAAUCAAUUGGAUCGGACUGGGGCUGGAUCAGGCGAGCUUGGCUGUGGCCGGGAUGAGGCCAAUAAGGGCGCCGCCCUUGACCUUGGCCUCCUGCGUCUCGUGGAUCUUCUGCAUCUAGAGCAUCCGCUCCAUGACAAGCUUGUACUGGCACUUCUCUUAGGCGUGGUGCUCAGGCUGGCACUUCCAGGGGAGGUAGAACUCGGAGGUGCACGCACUGGUUGUGGUAGGCGAGCGGCACCUGGGCCACCGCCAUCUCCACCUGCGUGAUGAUCUAGGGCUUCAAGGAGCCGAACUGCACACCGACCGUUGCUGCCGCCUCCAUCUGUCACUUUCUUCCCGUCUCUCUCACCGGCGAGGUCGUUCCAUCGAUAGAUGGGCAUUGCGGGUUUGGUGCGGUGUGGGUAGGUGGGGUGCAGCGAGGACAUGAGGAACCCUCUCGGAGAGAGAGAUUGCCAAUCUACUGGGCAAGUGGCAUGAUGAUCCUUGGAUAGAGAACUUGCUCCUCCGGAGUAAAUCCGACAGAUGCCGAGCUGGCGGCAGGCAUCGAGUCGAAGUCCACCGACAUGCUCCCGAAGCAGAGCUGGAUUGGGUUGGCGAGGAAGUCCUUCAUGCUCUCGGAAAAAACAAUGUCGGGACGGGAUGCCAUCGAGCUCGCUAGGGAGGAUCUCACAAUCAUCCCUACCUGGCAUGCCAACUGUUGGAUUUAUAAGCCUGAUAGUCCACCAGGGGGUUACCCAAGUAGUUGAUUUCUAGGUGAGGGCGAUUGUGAAACCAAGAACUCGAAGGUGAUUGCGAGAACACGAAGGGACACGAAGAUUUUAGAUAGGUUCGGGCCUCCGAAGAGUAAUACCCUACGUCCUGUAUGCUGGUUUGUAUUGCUUGAGAUUGAUAUGAUUGUUGGGAUACUCUUGGGGGUGCCCUUGGCCGCUUUAUAUAGGCUGAUGACCAAGAGUUACAAGUCGGUUUGAAUCUAAUCUACUCGGUAAUUAGAUGGAAAGUAAUCUGAGUCGGACUACAAUACGCGUUCCAUGAUAUCCAGGUAGAUUUGAACUGUCUUGUUGCUUUGACGUGCACUCCAAGUAACUUCAUGUCCUUAGCCCGCACGCCUUAGUCGGGUGGGCCCUAGUUGUUAGGUCUGACCAGUAUCCUGAGGUACCCAUAUCUCUCACCUUGGUGCUCCGGCGAUUAGGGUCAACGGCGAGGAUGGGGAUUGGAAGAGGAGAUCAAGGGGACUUUAUGGAGAUGCUCACCGGUGGUGAGGUGGACGGAUUCCAGCCAGAAUUUGGCUGGCGGUGGAAGAACACGACAGGUUGCUCAGGUCUUCGCGAGUGAUGGUACUCCAGCAGUGGAGCGGCGACGAAGACUAGUGGCAGAGCAGCUCCUCGACAUCAUGGAGCUCCCUAAGGCUCUAGCUUGCUCCAAUGGUCGACGGGCAUAGCGAAUUGGCCAGAGAAGGCUGGUAGCGGCUCCUAGCUUCGGUGGAUGUGGGGGAUGGCGGCGCUUGUGGAGGAUGGCGGUGCUUGUGCAAGCUGGGAAGAGUGGCGGCGCGAGGCAGGGUAGCAGCAGGGGCACUGUCUCGACUUUUAUAGGCGCGUGGGUCCGCGCCUACCUUGGCACGCAUGCUGAGGUUCGGCGGUGGCGACGACCAACUGCAGCUACGCUUGGCCUCAACCCGUUGGUGGCCGAUGGGCCUAGCGGACCUAGCCGAGCCAUCAGCUGGGCUGGGUCGGUGAGGGUCGAGCCGCAAAGACUUGGCCCGAUUGAUUAGGAUUUUCCUUUUUUUUAGAAAUGAUUUCUUGUAAAAGAAAAAUCCAGAAAAAUUCUAUAUAAUUAAUUUAAGCAACGAAAAAACCCUAAAAAUCCAAAAAUUCCAGGAAAAAUCCUAGAGAUAGUUUGGGAAUGAGGAGUACAAAUAAAAUACUUGGAGCUCAUGAAAAGGAUUCUAGAACCUUCCAAAAAUUGGAUUUAGCUCUAGAAAAAAGAGAAUAAAUCUUAGAAAAAUCUUGAAAUUCUCAUAAGAACCUAAUGGGCAUCUAAACGCAUUCCAAAACCUUUGCACUUAUGAAAUACCAAGAUGCAUCGGCAUGAAUGCAACACAUACAUAGAACUAUUAUAUUUAAUUCAGAAAAACACUCAAUUAUUUUCCUAUACUAAAUUUCCUGUCAGGAAAAUAAAUGUUGGAAAAAUUUUAAAAUUAUGAGAAAAUCAUUGUUUAAUUAUUAUUUUUAAUCACAUCCUGAAAUUUCAAAAAUUUUAAGGUGUGACAGAUACCCUCAGGUUUACAGAAUUUGACAUCCAUGUGCAAAUUGGAUCUAUCCUUCAAUGAUUCUUUGGAUUUGCACAGUUUUCAGAUAUUUACUGGAAGGAGCCCAACGGAUGAGAUAUUCAAUGAUUCUUUGGAUUUGCACAGUUUUCAGAGAAUGCUCUUCCAGAGAGAAUAUGGGAUAUAGUUGAUCCGACAAUAUGGAUGCACACAGAUGCCUAUAACAGCACUAUGAGAAGUGGAAUUAAGAAUUGCUUGCUUUCUGUUGUUUCUCUUGGAAUAUCAUGCUCAAAGAAACAACCUAGGGAGCAGAUCCCGAUUCAGGAUGCAGCCAUUGAGAUGCACGCUAUUAGAGAUUCGUAUCUCAAGUUUGCCAGAUCUCUUUUGGUGGAGCAUGGAGUAGUAGCAACAACUCACAGUGAUUUCCCACAACAGUGAAUACAUAGGACUGAAAAUGGGCAAGAUGUCCGCAGGUGAUCAGUUUACCUGAAAUAACUGAAGAUGUAUGAAGCUUCAGCUUUAUAAUUCGUCCAUGCAUUUGUUUGCAUCAGAUAUAUGGAAGUAUAAAAUAAGUUUAGAAAAUGUUUCAAAAUAGAUUAGAUCAAGAGGUUUUUACUUGUCGUCUGUAUGGCACAUUUGUUUAGAGAAUUCAGUAAUAUGUAUGAUUCAUAAUACAAUCAAUGCUCUGCAAAUUUCAGAUAGCACAAUUGGAAUAAAAAGCUCAUUCAUUGAUUAUGUUGCUCUAGGUGACUCAACUUAUUGUGAUGUUCACUGUAGAUUUCUCCAUGGUCCAAACGACCUUUGUGAUCAGUUAUGUUUAUGCAUUUUGUAGACUUGUAAAGUCUUUCCCUAACCUGCUGACAUAUCAGCUGGAGCAGAGCACUCUGCCGUUCUGCGCCACUUGCCUCUAGGCAGCGCUUGCCGCUUGGUGGCUGCCGUGGCGACGGGCGGCAUCCGUAAUUGCUCUAUUGGAGGCUGAGGGGCACAAUUACGUCUUGGAGUCGCCACCGCGCGACCUUCGGAGCUCGCCCAUGCCUCAUCGGUACGAGCUCAGUCCCGCGGUGAAUGGCGCGCGCAUCUGGGGUUCCGUCAGCUGCAGGUGCAGAUGGGUGGAGAGCUUAACAGCACUAGGUCUUCAGAAGAUGUUGGGUGGGCUGGAUGGGGCUUUGCGGCUCUGAAUGGCGAGGCGGGCAGGGACGACGGCGGCAGCGGCAGGCGGCGGCACUGGACGCGUUGGGGUGGAGACGACCCGGACCAGGGAGCAUUUUUGAAAAUAGUCGGAUCGCGAUCCUAAUUAGGAAAUGUGAGAAGGGGUGCACCAAAUAUGGGAUGAGAUGGAGAGGAGCGGAUCAGGCCCAGAUCAGCGAUCAUUUACUAUUAGGGCCCGUUUGUUUGGCAGGAAUUGGGCUGAAUUGGAAUUACUUUCCUAGGCCGACCUGUUUGGCUGCACAUGGAAUUGGAAAUCGUCUUUCCGGUGAUUUUCACGGGCUGAUUUUCUUACUUGCGACACAUUCCGGGCCUAAGACAAAGAAAUCAAUUCCAUCCGACUUGCUUCCCCUCCCGACUCGCCUCCCUUCCCCGACACCGCGCCACCUCCCUCUCCCAACUCCCCUCCAUCCCGACGCCGCACCCCCUCCUCCACCGCCUCCUCCGGCGCCCCCUCCUCACCUCCCCCUGACUCGCCUCACCCCGUGCUGCCGCCGCCCUCGACUCUGACUCCCCGAGCGCUGCGCCGCCGCCUCUCGCGCCGCCGCCCCUCGCGACCACCUUCUCGACGGCGAGAUAAACCUCCUCCAGUUUCCCUCCUCCAUCUCGUUCUCCGGCUCACCCCUUCCUUUUUCUUCCUCACCGGCUCACCCCUUCCCCUUGAACAAUCCGCAGAUCUGCGGGGGAGGUGCCACCGGCAAGCAGGCUGGGAGCAGCUGCAACGGCGGCCGCCCCAUCCACGUCUCUACGGACGGCAUCUUCAACAUUCCGACCACGCGCGUGCUCUCCACUAGCAAAGAAGCUGUACGUCCCAAUCCCUUCUGCCCAUCCCCUUUGCUACUCGAGCCAGCAAAGAAACUACUAGUUAGUUGCAUCAGAUUCUCACUGUCAAAUUGGAAGGCCAUUGCUCUUGCUCCUACUAGUAUACCGCACUUUCCACAAAAUGCGACACACGAAUUUGUUAAUUUUGCCGUAAUUCUGCUAUCAAAUCAAAAGGCCAAUCCUCUUGCUCUAAACAGUUUCUGCAAUUUCGUGCACUAUCGAUUGCUAGUGCUAAUUACAUGGAGGGCCUUUGGUACUUCUCUGCUAAUGCUAAUUAUAUGUGACAUGCUCUGAGAUUCUUCAUACUGUGUGCUGCCAUUAGUUUAAAUUUGGUAGAAGCUGAAAUCUCUUCGUAGAUCAUUAUGUGCUGCCAUUCUGAUAUCCUGUGGAGUUGCAUAUCAACUACUAGUGCUAGCAUUUAGUUUUAUCUGUCACAGCAGUUAAGCAUCAGUCAGCCCUUAUCUAGCAUUUAGUUGGUGCAGCUGUGCAAGUGAUGUUCCUAUUGUUUUUAAUUUUUGUCUUCUGCAGCAUUUUGCAGGCUGUCUAUGUUUCUGCUUAGUUUCGUGAAAUAGUGUAGCAUUUUGAUGAUAAAUUAAAACAUUCCUUUUUGCAUAUGUUUAGAUGCCUGACAGCAACAUAGACUUGGUUAAUACAGGCAUAGAGCAAAUGAGAGAGAGCGUAGGAAGAAGAGAAAAAGAGUGGCUAUUUUAUUUAUUUCUGCUGUCAUGAGCAUGAUUGUGCACUAAUGCGUAAGAGACCUAGGCGUAUCGUUGAUCCGGAUGAAGUGGCUGAGAGAAAUGUUGCUAGUCGGAAACAAAUGCCAAGGAAUCUGUACUAAGGAUCAAAUAUUUUUUGCUAUGACAGUUUGCGCCUAAUUAAGAGAUCAUUUUCUGACCUAUGUGCCAUCUUACGUGAUAGGUGCGGUAUGUGUGAUACUGUCGGUAGAAGAAAAUGUGGCUAUCUUUUUGCUUAUAGUGGGCCAUGGCACUAAGAUGAGGAUGAUUCGUAGCUCAUAUAGGUGGUCGCUCGAGCCAAUCUACCAUCAUUUCAAUGAGGUGUUGAGAGGUGUUCUAUCAUUAUGCCAUGAAUUUAUCAAGCUUCUUGAUCCAUCAGCUGUAGAACCUGAGGAUUCCAAGUGGAAGUGGUUUGAAGAUUGCCUUGGAGCAUUAGAUGGUACACAUAUUGACAUUUUGGUGCCUUUGGCUGACCAAGGGAGGUAUAGGAAUAGGAAGCAACAGAUUACCACCAAUAUUUUGAGGGUUUGUGAUCAUCACAUGAAAUUUAUUUACAUCUUAGCAGGAUGGGAAGGAUCGGCUUUAGAUUCACGUGUGCUACGUGAUGCAAUGUCUCGGGACGAUGCAUUUCUUAUUCCAAGUGGGAAAUACUAUCUUGUAGAUGCUGGAUACACCAAUGGACCGGGCUUUCUUGCUCCAUAUCGAUCCACUCGCUACCACUUGAAUGAGUGGGCUGCUCAAGGGCAUAACCCAUCCACUCCCAAAGAACUAUUCAAUUCGCGCCAUUCAACUGCUAGAAAUGUGAUAGAGAGAACAUUUGGGCUAUUAAAGAUGAGGUGGGCUAUACUAAGAAGCAACUCAUAUUUUAACUUACAAAAUCGGGUAUUCCGUAGUUAGUAACCUAGCUUGAAAUUCACCUCUGAAUGACCCUAGCAUGUAACUCAUUUCUACUAAUUUUUUGCAGAUUAGGAUCAUUAAUGCUUGUUGCAUAUUGCACAACUUUGUAAUUGAUAGACAAAGAGAUAUAGAUGACUUACUUAUAUACACCAAGUUGAUCAAGUAAUAUAUGUUGAACCUCAUGAAGUUCAAAGUGAAGUGGGCAUGAUUAGCAAUGUUCAAUCAUCAAAUGAAUGGAGCAAUUUUAGGGAUACCAAAGCUAACCAAAUGUUUGCUGAUUACCAAGCGAGACGUGGUCAAUGUAUGAUAAAUUCUAUCAUCAAUGCAUGCUCAAAUUUAUGAUAUUUGGUGUUGCUCCUUAAUAUUUUACUGAUAACCUUUGUGAACUUUUUUCUUGUAGAAUAUGGAGAAGGGCAAGAAGUCAGUCUCGAGCAGGGGUUACAUUUGUUGGAAUGACGACAUGAAUAAGGCUCUUCUUGACACAUUUGUGGAGUACUAUAACAAGGGUGACACAUGCCAAAAUGGGUGGAAGUCUCAUGUCUAUACAACUUCUAUCAAGAAUAUCCGAGAAAAGUGUAAUGUGGAUAUCACAAAAGACAACAUCAUGGCAAGGAACAAGACCUUUGACAAACACUACACUAUCAUCAAUGGUAUGUUGGAAUCAAGUGGAUUUGGUUGGGAUUGGAACAAAAAUAAAAUAUCUGUUGAUAGUGAUUCUGUAUGGGAAGAAUAUGUGACGGUAAGUUUCAAAAACCACUGAUUUACUUGCUUAACUUGCUUCUCUUUACAAGCAGUUUUCAUUUUGUUAGACACAAUCACAUAUGAGGUUAUCCUUAUUUUACACAUGGUAUGGUAUGAAUCUACUAGGUGGGCUUGGCAUAUAAUUGAAAGAUUUUUUGUACUCUAUCUAAAGUGGCAAUGAUUGUUUCAUCAAAACUUAUUGUUCCUGAAAACUUAUUGGCAUAUAAUUGAAAGUUUCUAUCUAUUGUUGAAAACAGUGUGUAGUGAAUUAUGUUCGUUACCUGUGUUCCUAAACAAUUAUGUAUGCAUCCUUGUCCCUGUAUGUUUUGUUACUUUUUUUAUUGAUAGUGUGGCAUCUUUAGGUUGUUCUUGAAAUGAAAGUAUACUUUCACUGCACAAGAAUUUAUUGGCCAGAAUAGUGGCUUGUAUUGGUCAGAUCCUAGUCAGCAAGUGCACGUCUCCUACAAGGCUGAGAAUCUUGCGUGAGGAAACUAGAGAGACCACUAGCAUGAACAAUGCCUCUCCAUACUCUGCAAUUUUUGAACUUUAGAUGCACCUGUCUCUUUGCUAGAAUUGCAAAUUAAGUAUGAAACAUGAAUCGACAUCAUUUAGUAUUGUUGUGCAGCACCAUACAAUGGUUUUGUGGUUUUGUGGAUUCUAGAAAAGGAUUCUCACAAAUGAUAGUUGCCAGUUAUACCUUUUGUUGCCAGUUCUACAAAAGGAGCCAUGGAUGUGUUUCAAUUUGUAGAUAUUCAUUGUGCAAAAUGCGACUAGAGCUUCUAGUACAUGUAUUUCUAAUAGUAGAAGCCAUGCAGAAGUUCCUGUAUUUGAACUACAGUAUGUAAACUGAUCUAUAUGUGUCUAAACUGGUCUGUAUGUGAACUACAAUGAUUGUACUUCUAUUUGGGUUCAGUACAUACUUGCUCUACACUUGUUUUCUAACCAAGUACAUUUAUUUUCUGUAGAAAAAUAAAGAAGUUACUGGGUACAGGCACAAGACUGUCUUGUACUGGGACUCAAUUAGCUUGGUGUUUGGCAAAGGCCAUGCUACUGGUGAAGCGGCAAAGACUGUGGCUGAGAGCUCAAAAAAUAUGAGUAAGGAAUAUCUUAGUAACAAAGAACCCACAUCAUCGGCAACUUCAGGAAGUUUAAAGAGGCAACGAUCAGGUGACUCUUUUACCUCUAUGAUAGCUGAAAAAAUGGACAAGUUUGCUGAAGCACUCAAGGAGGAAGCCCUAAAGGCCUAACAUCAAAAGAAAUUCUAGACACACUGAAUGAGGUACAAUGAUUGGAUGAAGACACUUUGUUGGACCUAUUUGAUAUCCUGACCGGUGAUGCACGCAAGUAUGAGUCUCUGUUGGCGCUUCCGGAGAAGAUGAGGAAGAGGUGGCUCCUAAAACAGCUCAAGAAGUGAAAAAAUUAGUUCAUAUAUAAAUUAUACUAUCAAGUGAUGGAUAAUGUCUAUUGAACUUCCAUUGCCUUGUAAUAAUAUGUGGCUUCAACUAUAUGAAAGUUUAGAUACUAUGUCUGUAUUGCUUGCAUUGUCAAGAUAAUAUGUUUAUCAUGAUCUCAUACUAUGUCUGUCAUGAAAGUUUAGAUAAUAUGUGGCUUCAACUUGUCAUGAUUGUAAUCUCCUUUGACAUGUUGCAAGUAAUCAGAUAUGUCUGCCAGGAUUGCAUUGUCAAGUAUGAAUGUAUAUCAGCAUUGUAGGGAGAGAAGCUUAUCUGCUUUUUGGAGAUAAACAUUCAAAUUACUGGUGUAUGACGGGAUGAAAUACUCUAGUGUUCACCUGGUUGGAAGGAUGAGAGGGAGAUGAGAGAGAGAGUUUGGAAGAGAGAGAGGUGAGAGUUCGGAUGAGAGAGAAAGCAGCUUAGAAGGAUGAGAGAGAGAAAGCGGUAUUCAGCUGGAUGGUGGAAAUUUUAUAUAUUACUAAUAAUGCAUCCAAACAAUAUUUGGAAUUUAAUUCUAAGAAAAACUUCCUUUGUACAACCAAAUAAGAAAAUUCAAUUGAAUCAAAUUCUACGGAAUCCAUUUCCUAUGGAAUCUAAUUGCUAGAAUAUGAUUCAUGGAAUGAGUUUCAAUUCUAGGGAAACAAACGGGCCAUGGUCUUCAUUCCCAAGGAAAGCUUGAGGCUCUGCAAUAUUACACAACAAUGAAGUCAAGAGGGUUGAUCCCUGAACCAAGGACCAAGAUACUGGUGAAAGCUAUACAUAUGAAGAAAGAUGGGGCUGUCAUAGAAGAUCAGUCUGCAAAUAUGACAGGGAAGAAUCUAAAACUGGAUCCACGAUCUAGACUAUUCCAUGUUCAUAAAUAGUUUGCUGUCAGAUCUUACUUCUAUGUGUCAAAAGAAUCUCUUCGACCAGUGUCCAGAUCACAAUGGUCACACCUUGGGCUACAAUAAAUCAUCAGCAAAGUGUAUUGGCAUUAUGUAUCCCAGAAAGUUUUGCUCAGACUUUCAAUGCCAGGGUAUGUUUUUUAUGUCUGAUAUGGAUCAAUUGCAGGUACUGUAUUACACGCUCGUAUUAUGAAGGUUAUGUGAAAUAUGACAGAUGUUUGUUUAUUCAUCUGUUAUGCAUGGCUGUGUCUACUGUCUAGUUGUUGGCUUGUUGCCAACAUAUGCAGCAGCAGGUAGCUUCAGCCGCUCAGAAGCCCAAAUGAAGGAUGGCCCAGGCAGAAUAGCUAUGUCCAGACCCAGAAAGCUUAGGACAUGUCUUGCCAGCCUGCAGUUUUGUACUCGUAGCACCAACCAUCUCCGGGUUCUGGCCGGUUAUAUACAUGGUCUGGAAUGGGCAUCCGCUGAUCGAUUGAAACCUUGAGUUGCUUCCGUGUGUCUUUUGCCAUCUAUAUAUUAUGGUUAGUCAACGGCAUGCAGUACACCCAUGCAUAUGAUUGCAGUAGGAUGACAUGGCGUGACCAGAACCCUUCUUUUGCCAGUUUUAGAUUCUUAUACACGGCCAACUGACGCAGCAGGGAGUUGCAUGCUAAGCAGUUCAGCGUAGGUGGUGAGUUCUCAACUCUGAUAUGGCUUAUGGAAGAACACUGUCACGGUGUCACCUAGCCGGUUGGAGGCCAACCUCUUACUAGGGACAGCAAUGGCCCUGUCCGGCCACUGUUUCGUGGCUGGUAUUAUUACCCCUAUGCAGUGAAUAUGACAUGUGGAUCUAUGUGUAUAUUAUGUCGUCAAAAGAACAUUAUAUGAACCGUUGAUCCACCUUUGAUUCUAUUAAUGUGUCAUGGUCAAUUGAUGUCAAACUCUAUUAUCUUCAAGUCUUACUGUAUUGAUAAAAUCACGAUGCUGCUACUGCCAUUUUGAUGUUUAUAAAAGGGUAUUGAGAACCUGGUGGGUAUCCAUUCGAUGCGCAGGGUUGGGGGUGGGGAAAAAUGAGUGUAAAGGACAGGGAUGCAGUAUUUAGAAAGAUGAGGCUGGCACAGAAAAUAGUCUCCAAGUAUGGCAGGGAAGAAUCUAAAACUGAAUCCUUGAUCAAGACUGUCCCAUAUUCAUAAAUAGUUCACUGACAGAUCUUGCUUCCAUAUUCUGAACAGCUGAUGCUGGGCACAUAGGAGGUUAACCGGUCAGCGGAUCAAAGAAAAUCCACAAUGGCCUCAUCUUGGGUUAGAGACAAUCAUCGGUAAAGAAUCAUAUUGCCGGAUAAGGAUAUCUGUGAUUGGUGGGUGCAGAUCCAUGCUCAUUCAAGAAACACAUGAUUCUUUACGGAUGAUCAUCUCUCAGCACACCCUGCUGAUAAGGUUAUCUGAGAUUGGUGGGUGCAGAUCCUAGAAACAAGCUAGGGCUGAAUGCGCCGCUGUACUUGGAUGUUGUGGUGACACCGUAAUGAUUGUGUGUUUAAUGGAGUUUUCCAUAGUGACUAGCGUGCAGGCCGUCCUCGUAUUUGAGAAAAAAAUCAAUGGGCGAAAUAUUUUCACCCAGGUAAUUGUUGCAUUGUAUGAAUAGGCUUAGAUACCUGGUUAAAGUAUGGUGCGUGUACUGUGACACAAGAAGAUUUAUCAUAUCUAUCUAUGAAUUAGUGUUAAAACUCCUACAUAAAUAUCUUCUCUUAUCUCACUUUAUGUAUAUAUAUGACACAGAAGCACAUGUAUAUCGGCAUUGUAGAGAUAGAGAUGAGAGAGAAGCUUAUCUGCUUUUUGGAGAUAAAUAUUCAAAUUACUAGUGUAUGAGAGGGAUAGAAUUAUUCUAUCAUAUUGUUUAUUCAACAUCUAAAAAGAUUCCAUGUUUAGUCAUCUAUAUCGGCGUUGUAGAGAGAGAGACUAGUGUUCAUCUGGUUGGAAGGAUGAGAGAGAGAGGAGAGAGUUUGGAUGAGAUAGAGAGAUAGUGUUCAGCUGGUUGGAAGGAUGAGAGAGAGAGAGAGGAGAGUUUGGAUGAUAGAGAGAUUAGUGUUCACUUGGUUGGAAGGAUGAGAGGGAGAUGAGAGAGUUCGGAUGAGGAGGUAGAGAGUUCGGAAGAGAGAGAGAGGUGAGAGUUCGGAUGAGAGGUGUGAGAGAGGUGAGAGUUCGGAUGAGAGAUAAAAUAGCUUAUAAGGAUGAGAGAGAGAGAAAGCGGUAUUCAGCUGGAUGGUGGAGACUUCAUAUAUUACUAAUAAUGCAUCCAAACAACAUUUGAAAUUUAAUUCUAAGAAAAACUUUCUCGGUAAAUCAAAACAAGAAAAUUCAAUUGAAUCAAAUUCUACGGAAUCCAUUUCCUACGAAAUCUAAUUGCUAGAAUAUGAUUCAUGGAAUGAGUUCCAAUUCUAGAGAUCCAAACGGGCCCUAAGAGAAUUGUAGUGAUCAACUCCCAAGUUGCAAUAUAUUCUAGGAAAUAGGUGGUUAUGAGGAUGAUACCUGCAGACAAUACUUUUUAUCCCUCAAUUCUUACAGAGAAUUGCACUAUCAACUGCAUUUUCAUUUGUGCCACGCUGCUCAGCUAUAAAAAACGGGGCAAAUCGACCAAAAUAAAUGAAUAAACCACAUGGUUUAGACUGGUGGCAUAUGUAUGUCUGAUGAGUUUAGAAUCCCAACAGACCUCUGUUUGCUUAUCCAACAGGAGGGAAAAAGUUUACUUACUAAAUCAGCUUUGCAUGUCAGGCUGCAAUUGUUAGAGAGUAGAAUUGGGUAAUUUGUGAACAUAAUUGAAUCAAAGUUUUGUCUCAGACUAGUAAUAGAAAAUGGUGAUGCUCCAUAGCUAGAACAACACGUUCCUACACUAGUUUAAAAAAUCCCCUGAAAUUGGGAACAAUGGUAAAGCCCAAACCAUACUUGGAACUUGGAAGGCCGCUGGCGGAUGUCAAAGUCAAAAACAGAAGCAGACAACGACGUCUCACCAGAUCACGAAUCAGAUGCGAUGCAUAUACAUGUUGCAGGCAUUAGCACGCAUCCCUUAGGAUUAAACAAUUCAGCAAGUAGCUCCCCUGCUGACCAAGAAAAGCAAGCUCUGUCUCGCAGCAAGCUCUUCAAUACGCUCCAGCCCAGCUCUACCAUGGCAUUUGCAAUGCGCGUCAUGAGCUUGCUUCCUGCCACCAUCGCCGUGAUGAUCGCAGCGGCCUCCUGGGGAGCGCACGGCGGUGCCAGCGACGAGGCCAGCGCGCUGCUUGCUUUCAAGGCUGAGCUCGCCGGCAGCGGCUCCGGCAUGCUUGCAUCCUGGAAUGGCACCGCUGGCGUCUGCAGCUGGGAGGGCGUGGCGUGCACCAGCGGCCAGGUGGUGGCACUGAGCCUGCCCUCUUAUGGGUUCGCCGGAGCCCUCUCCCCGGCCAUUGGGAACCUCACUUUCCUGCGGACCCUGAACCUGAGUUCCAACUGGUUCCAGGGGGAGGUCCCAGCAAGCAUCGGCCGCCUAGCGCGUCUGCAGACGCUUGAUCUGAGCUACAAUGCGUUCUCUGGUACGCUUCCUUCCAACCUCAGUUCCUGUGUCAGCUUACUGCUGUUAGAUCUCAGCAGUAACCGGUUCCAUGGGCGUAUCCCUGUUGAGCUUGGAGACAAGCUAACAAGUCUUCAGAAGUUCUCACUGGGCAACAACAGCUUGACGGGUGCCAUGCCAGGAUUACUAGGUAACCUGUCAUCCCUGAACUACCUUGAUCUGAGAAAAAACCACCUCGAGGGUCCGAUCCCACAUGAACUCGGCAGCAUGGGCGGCCUGCAGGUCCUUUUACUCCAUGACAACAGACUCUCCGGUGUGCUUCCACACUCCCUGUACAAUCUGUCCUCACUGAAAAAGUUGGGGGUAGGAGACAACAUGCUGUCUGGAACCAUCCCUGCUGAUAUCGGCGAUAGGUUCCCCGGUAUGGAAGCUCUUGACUUUUCUAGCAACCGAUUCAGUGGAGCUAUCCCACCUUCGCUCGGCAACCUCUCUGCUCUCACAAAACUAAUCCUUCAAGAAAAUGGUUUUAUUGGAUAUGUGCCUUCUGCUUUGGGAAAGUUGCAAAGUCUUACUGCCCUUUUCUUGGGUGUUAACAGGCUAGGAGCAAACGACAGUCAAGGGUGGGAAUUCAUCACUUCACUGGCAAACUGCUCCCAGCUUCAGGUUCUUGUUCUCGGCAACAACUCUUUCAGCGGGCAACUGCCUAAUUCAGUCACAAACCUGUCAUCAACUCUGCAAGGUCUUUAUUUGGGAGACAAUAUGAUUUCUGGGAAUAUUCCAAUAAACAUCGGAAAUUUGGUUGGUCUUACAGUAUUUGUGAUGGGAAAUACUUCUGUAUCUGGACAGAUUCCAGAGAGCAUUGGUCAGCUAAGAAACUUGGGUGUGUUAGGCCUUUACAACACUAGCUUGUCAGGCCUCAUACCUUCGUCACUAGGAAAUCUUACACAGUUGAAUAGGCUUUAUGCAUACUAUGGAAACUUAGAGGGGCCAAUUCCAUCAAACUUGGGGAACUUAAAGAAUGUGUUUGUCUUUGAUCUCUCAACAAAUCGACUCAAUGGUUCAAUUCCUAUAGAGGUUUUAAAACUUCCUCAACUUUCAUGGUACUUAGACUUAUCAUAUAAUUCAUUAUCCGGGCCACUUCCAAUUGAGGUUGGUACCAUGGUGAAUCUUAACGAACUGAUUCUGUCUGGAAACAAGUUGUCAGGCACCAUACCAGCUAGUGUUGGGAACUGUAUAUCGUUGGUACGGCUGCUGCUCGAUAACAACUUAUUAGAAGGAAGCAUACCUCAAUCUCUGAAGAACAUAAAAGGUCUUGCAUUACUGAACCUAACAAUGAAUAAGCUAUCUGGUAGUAUUCCUGAUGCCCUUGCUAGCAUUGGCCACCUGCAACAACUGUAUCUUGCACACAACAACUUGUCAGGUUCCAUCCCCAAAGUUCUACAGAAUUUGACAUUGUUGGCAAAACUGGAUUUGUCCUUCAAUGAUCUGCAAGGCGAAGUGCCAAAAGGGGGUCCUUUUGCAAAUGCAACU